UUUUUUUUUUUAGUGAUUGAUUUAGAGCAUUAUGUUGUUUAUUAUAUAUUUUAUUUAUUUUUAUCAUUAUGUUAUUUUUUAUAUUUUUAUUUAUGGUAUUGAGUAUAAAAUAUCAUUGAUGAUAACAAUAAUAGGGUUAGGUGAAUCGUAAUUGUGAAAGUAAGAGCAUAAAAUAUAGUAUUAGAUGAUGAACAGAUUACAUUACUGAAUCCCACUGGUCUUAGAAAAAGAUCUGUAGAAUAGGAGAUAAACAAACAAACAAAGAUUUAUUCUGAAACACAAGUACUUAACUUAACUCAACAACACAGCUAUAGAAAGAUGAUACAUAAAUCAUCUUCUAUAUAUGGAGAUUGAAGUUUUAACAGUGUUUGGUGCAGAAGCAUCUACGACGGAAGCCACGGCAGUGUCCUCCGCUGAAACGUUCAGUUCGGCAGACAGAAGCACAGUUGGUGUCACUCACACAUGGUCCCUUGAAACGGUGGCUCUGAGACUCACAAGUUCUUGCCUCCGCCACCAUUCUUGGUCCCAUCUCUGCUCAACACAUUAUGCAACACAACUUAUAGACAAGAUCACAAUAAAGAAAACCCUAAAAUGGAAGUAUUGAGCAUGGAGAAAAGCUUACCAGUGGCGAGAAGAAGCAGAAGAAAGACGAAGAUGGUUGAGACAAAAGACACAGAGCGAGCCAUGGAUGAGAGAGUGAGCAAGUUUGAAGAACAACUGAAGAAGCUGGGGUUGAUAGCGAAAUGCAAUGGAGCUGCUUUGCCUUAAAUAGAGAUCAUCAAGGUAAAAACAUGUGGUAAUAUUUCUUACUUACAUUAAAUUACUUAAUCAAUUAUUUAGUAAUUUUAAUUGCAUCUUUUAAUUCAUUCUUCAACUUUUAUUUUAUUAUUUUUUAAUUAUUAUUUUUUAAUUAAUUGUACAAAAAGUGUAUUCUAGCCACUUUUGAGAACUCGUGAAAAUAUAGCAAGAUUGAGUGAAUCUAUAAAGUUUAGAGUAAUAAAAAAUGUAAAAAAAAAAAAUACUGAAUUUAAAUAGUUUUUUAAUUGAAUUUUAUACCGGGAAUUUAAAAUUUCUGAAGAACUAGUUAAAGAUAAUAAAUUUCGAUAUUCAACUUAAACAAGUUAAAAAUUAUAAAAUAGUUACUAAAUAAGGAGUUUAACUAUGACAAUGAAUAUAAAAAUGAAAAGAAAAUAAUUUAUACUUUCGAGUCCUGAAUUAUAUAAUGAAAAGAAAAUAAUGUUUUCUGGUUUGCAUUAAGACCCUGUUUGUUUUAAAAUGCUUUAGGAGAAAAAGAUGAUUAUUUGUGAAAUGAAUGAUCGAGAAAAAGGUGAGGAAGCAUCAUUAUUGAGAAGCGGUGGUGAUGAGAGAGGCUUUAUCGCUUUGAGACAAUCUUUAUGACAAACACGGUGUCGACCUUCAGCUUUUCCAUUUUCACGUUUUUUUAACAUUUCAGAACUCAUCACUACACGUAAGCGCGUUUCCUUCUUUGCUCAUUCUGUAUCACAUGGGCUGGUAAGUGGGUCCCUUCGCUCGUACCAAACAGGACCUUUCGCUCACUUUUUUAUUUACUUUUUUUCAUUUCUUUGAAUUUGGUUGUAGAGUAUUACGUAUUCAUAUUUCUUUAAACAUCACUUUUUGUAAAGAGGGAAUAGACAGAAGAAAUAGAAAAUAUGGGGAUGGAAUUAAGAGAAUUAUUAUUAUUUUUUUCGGUUGGUCGAUCGAAUUAUUUUAUUUUAUUAUUUUAACGAUUUUCUCGUACUUAUCUUGUUUAUCUGUUUUUCGUUUUUUUAAAUUCUAUACUUUGAUAAUACUUAUAAAAGACAUUCUUACAUUAAAGUAAGACUACUCGGUGUUAUUAGUACUGGAUGAUGAAGUACUUGAUUCUUGAAAUCUGUAUCUACUUAUAUGAUUAUCAUGGAUAUUUUAUUGGACCGGAUUAAGGAUUUGAAUCAUAGUUAAGAAUGUAUUACAUAAUAUUUCAUCAUUAAUUAGUCUAAUUAAUCAUCUGUUUGGAUGGUUUAGGUUGCGUCGAUCGUUCUUGACAGGUACUAAACUUUCAGGUGUCGUUCGUACCGACCAGUACAAUAUCAAAUGAUAAAAAAAUAUUUCAUUUAUUAUUAUUAUUUAUUAAUAUUAACAUUUCUUUAACUAUUUACUAUCAUUAUAAAAGAUAAAAAGUUGUAAAAAAUAAAAAAAAAACACACCUUUAAUUUGAUUGUAAGUAUCACAUAAUCCACUAUGGUUAUAAAAAUAAUUUACUUCUCCCUCUUUAAAUAUGUAUUUAUUUAUUUUAUAUGUGGAUUUAUAUCUCUUAUUUAUUUAUGCAAUUGUUUUCUAUUAAUAUUUUAAUUGGAUUUUUUUCAUGUUCAUUACGUUAAUUUGGUAUGAUAAUAAUUAUAUAAAAAUUAGUUGUACCUCUUGGUGAGGACUAUAAAAAAAUAGAUUAUAUGAUGCUAAUAAGUUGUAUAUAAAAAUGAAUUAUAUUUUCUAAUUUUUUUCCGGAAAUCCUUCCUGAAGAGGUUUAUAUAUUUGUUAAACUUUAAUGUUAAUCAUUUUUAAGUUGAAAUCUAAUAUAAUCUUAAAGUGUAUAACUUAUUUAGUAAUCACCUAUUAUUAGACUCGUCGGUUCAAUAUAUAUAUAUAUAUAUAUAUAUGAUGAAAUAUGGAAAAGUUACUUGAAGAUAAGUUUUAUUCACAAUUUUGUAAAGUAAAUUAUUAGUUUAGUAUAAUAUGUUAUUUGUACUACGUUAAUAAUGAAUAAUUUUUGUUUUGUUAGUCUCACCCAAUAAAGAUUACUUAUUAUUUUAUAAAUUUAUUUUGAUUAUCAUUAUUAUUUAUUUAUUAUUAUUAAUAUUCUUAAUUUUUAAUAGUGUUCAUAGUACGAAAUCAGUGUGAACCACCCUACACCCUAUAUUAUUUCACCAAUCCAAUGAAUUGUCAUUAAUAAUAUUGCAACACAUUAUCUAACUUAAUGGAGAAAAAAAGAAAGAGAUAAAGAAAGGUUAUGUCAUGUUUGGAAUGCUGUAAAAGAAGUUCGCAGAGCUUCAUGACAGAACUUGUCACAUUAUACGAGAUUUGCUUAAUACUGAAAUAGUUCAUGCUAAUUACUUAUCUUGAAAACAAAAUAAAAAACAAUCAUAUAGAUAAAUAAAAUAAAUAGGGUAUGUUAGUAAUUUUUAGAAUUUUUAAUAUAAAUAUAACUUUAAAUUACAAAUAUAAAAUUCAUUCUUUUUCAUACAUUUUUACAAAAUCGUUUAUAGUAAUUUAUAAUACAUAUUACUCAUCAAAAAUUCACUAAUUAACCUACACAAACACUUGAUUUUUUCUAAGUUUAUAGUAAUUUAUAAUACAUAUUACUUAGAUCAGAAAUUCACUAAUUAACCUACACAAACACUUUAUUCUUUCUAAGUUUAUAGUAAUUUAUAAUACAUAUUACUCAUGUUAGAAAUUCACUAAUUAACAUACACAAACACUUGAUUCUACUUCUAAAAGAUUUAUGCAUGGAUUUAAACUCAAAUAUAUGUAUCUAUCAUAUUACUUGACUAUGAAAUUUACACAAUAAUGCGCAUAAUAAUCUUAAUAUCAAUUCAUCUCAUAUGACAUGGUUAAUUCAUACAACAGACCAAACCAGUUAUUUUUCAAACUGUAAACUCAUUCAUACGAAUAUCUUUCGACUCUCAUCACCUAAUAAUCUUCAUAUGUAUGAUUCUAAUAUAUCAGUAGAGUCAUGAUAUCUCAUUCUAAAUGAAUCAUUAGUGAAUUCACAUUUUUAUUUUUUUCAACUUUGAGAAAAUCUUUCGAAAUAUUUUCUAAGAAAUUUUCAACUUUUUAAUGUUGUAUCAUAUUGAAGGAUAUUUAACUUUGUAUCAUCUUAAACAACUCCGAUAACGAAGUGUUGGAUAUGUAUUUUUUUUCCAAGUUUAAUUGGGUUUUUCAUAUUAGGAUGUUUAAGAUAAGAAGCUUAUAUGACUAUUUUAAAAGUAACUUUUUCUUUUAAAAAGUGUGUGUGUGUGUUAAAUCCAUGGAUGAAAUAUAAGAUGAAUGAAUGAAAGUUGGAAGUAUUAUUAGUAUUAGCAAUUUUGGGGAACACAUGUCCCUCUUUUAGAUUUGUGUAUCUUGCUUUACCACUCAGUGGAAGGAUGUGGUACGAAUUUGCGGAAAAAAGGUGUCAUCACUCAUUAUUACAAAGAAUGAAUGUGUACACAAAAGUGAAAGAGAAGGAGAUUAUUUCAGAGCAAAUAUUUGUUGAAUAUGCAGUAAAUUAUAUAUAUAGAUAGAUUUUUAUUCUAGUUACUAUUUGUAUACUCUUUUUUUUUCUUAUAGUAAAUUAGCUAUUGUUGUAUUUCGAAUUAAGAAAAUGAUUUUGUUGAUUUUAAGAAAAAAGUAAUGUUUGAUUUGUAUAUUUUAAUAUGAAAUUAAAAUUGUGUUAGUAAGAAAAUCACGUUUUGACAUGGAGAAUUUUCGUAUUGAUUGAAUAUGAGUACGAAUAAUAUCCAAUUUUGUAUAUAAGAUAUGGGAAGAGGUACGAGUAUAGGUAUGUACAUAUUUGUCUCAUCUCUAACCUCAUAUACAUGUCUUGGUUUUAAAUUAUUAAACUUGUUUUAGUUUAUUAGGUAAUAUAAAAACUUAUUUCAUGUUUUCUUUUUGGUUCUAACUUUCACUCUCAUCUAGAUGACUCUUUUUCACUACACUUUUUUUUUUAUAAGUUCAUUCAGAUCCUCAAUAUAUUUUUUCUCUUAUCACAACCUUUGAUUACACACUUUUUCAUUUGUGAGAUUUCGUUUAUAAGGUGUAUUACAUUUUAGGAAGGACAAACAUCAAUUACAUUCAAUGAAACUAGGCAUACAUUUGAUUAUUUUCACUUUUUUAAAUAUUUUUUAUUUAUUGGUUAUUUUUGUCACAUGUGAACAUCCUACCCUCAAUUUUAAGUGUUGGGUAGUAUAAAGUUAGUUUAUUAUGUAACAUACAAAACUUAACGUCUUUGUGCUCUUUGUCUUUAAUUUUGUUUCAUUUAUAAAACCUUAUUUAUAGAACUUUUCUUUUGCUACAAAAUUUUUCAUAAAAACCCUCUUUUGAUUUUUUAUCAAAAUCUCAAUGUGAAUGUUUGUUCGUAAUUUUGACUAUAUAUGAAACUAUUAAUUGAGCUUUUAGAUAAGUGAUAUAUAAGGUUCGAACACAUCUCUUAAAAUAUCGUACACAUGUAUCGGACAUUGACACUCGUACGAUAUUUGUAGGACACAUAUUAGUGAAACGUCCUAUUAAAAGAAUAUUUGUUGGAUUUCUGACAAUUCUAACACAAUUUUAAAACUGAGUAAAAAAUUAUUAUAAAUUUUUUUAUUAUGAUUAUAAAAAUAAGAAACAAAUCAUUUUGAACCAGUCAAAACAAACAUCUGCUCCAAAAAAACCAAAACAUACUUGUACACAUAAAUCUUUAUUGUCAAUUUAUAUAAUUCAUAUUUAUUUUAUAUAUAAAAUUAUGUUUCUAUGUUCUAUAUUUUAAAAAUUGUAUACAUAUAUCUAUAUCAGUGCAUCUGUGUUGUGUAUCGUAUCAGUAGUCAGUGAUCCUUAUCGAAACUGCAGUAGAUUUUAGAAAAAUGUACACCUGUGUUCAUCAUUUCAUAUAAAAUUUAGAAUUCUCUUGUUGGAAAUAAUUUUCUGACACAAAAACUUCAAUAAUUUUGAAACAAAAUAGCAACUAGUGUCAGUAUUUUCUCUUGGUUCUUGAAUCGAAUUGCUGGAUUCUUAUCCAAGAAACAUUUAUGUGACAGAUCAUUGACUUUACUAACAUUAGAGCUUCAUCAAUACCCGUGUCAGUUUUCCAGUUAAAAACAAGCUUACCGUUAAUUUACUAACCAAUAACAUUUUACUAAACAAAAAAACACAAGGCUAUAGGAGAGAAUAUUAACAAGGUUAAUAUAUUUCCAUUAACUUCGUUUAACCCAUCAUUCGAUUCGUGGUAUACACAAAGAGUUAAUAACCUUUUCUUUGAACAUAAAGAUCCUCAUAAAAAGAUGAAAAAGGGGAUCAUAUUGAUGGGAAUCACCAAUCUGAAGUUCUCAGUCUCCAAUUUAACCCGGUAAUGAACACGAACUCAAUCCCAUGUCACCGAAAUCAUAGAGUUGGCAAGGCCUGAAUCCUGGAAGGUUGAAUUACUUUCAUAGUCCAGAUUUUUAGAUGCUCCGGGAAUUGCAUGAGUUAGUCUAAAUGGCUUUGUUUCAUCCUCCCCUAGUUGGGUGGAAAUAAAAGACCACAGCAGCUUCAAGAAAAACAAAGAAAAUCAAAACCAGACAAAUAAACUAACAAAAAACACAAUCAACUUGCAUCCCAAAAGGCAAAGAUCCUUUCAUACAAAUCUCCACACAACACUAAUACUUAUUCUGAAUAAUGGGUGGUGUAAGAAAUUCAGGAAUUCAACUGAGGGUCAAUAACUCUGUUCUCCAAAUUAACAAGAAAAUAAGCUUGCAAUUUAAACCAGGGUACAUAAUUAUUAUCAUUAACUUUGCAGUAUCCAGCAGUCAUCAAAUAAAACGUAACAAUUAACAGUACUACUGUACUACAAUACAUAAUUAACUCAUGUUUGAGUAAGAGUGUCCAUGAUAAAUUUAAUAAUUAAAAUAUUUCCCUUUGCCAUACACCCAUAUCAUAUACAUCCAUAACAAUCAUAAUUUCAAGAACAAUGUAGCAAUAUCGAAAGACAUGCAGAUAUAAAUAAUAUCCAGUAGUCUUUGAAGGGGAUAAAGAAUGUACAGCAUCCAGAAAUCAUAUUAAAUUGGCAGAAGAUCAUCUUUAAGAAAAAUGAGAACAUUAGGUUGGAUGAAUUCCUAUAGGUAUGAGAGCAACAUCUGUUACCUGAAUUGGAUCCGUGCGUAAGAAAUUACGCUGAACACGUUGACCACCUGGAAGCCGCACACCAACUCUGCAGAGGAGAUUUCUUUCAGCCUUGGGUUCUUCAGGCAGGGGUGGAUAUGUGGGCCUCUUAGCCAAUUUUGUUUCUUGCCCGUUGACUGCAACAUCAGCAUCUUUAUUGUCUCCACCACCAGCCAUAGCAGUUGAUUCUUUCAUGCUUUCCAUAGAAGCUGCCAGAGCUCGUUGAACUUCCUCAUCCUCCUCUUUAUUUUCAUUUGAUUCUACCAAGGCUAUAACAUCAAACAACAUGAUGAUGAAAAAAUUAAAAAAGACGGUUUCAUCAUUAGAAAUGUAAGGUAGACAUAUCUCUAUACUAAAAUAUAAACCUUGAUUAUCUUUGUUUUUCAUCUAUUCCCAUUUUGAUAAAAUCAGCAUAUCAUAAUCCCAGAUUUCAGAUCCUUAUCACUUAUUAUUUUCUUAGAAUAUUUGUUAGUUAUGAUUCUAUUAAUUAGGGGUUUCUUUAUUUUUUUAUUAGCAUAAUUGUUAGAUAUGAUAAUACUGACAAAGGAUCUCUUUAUUAUUAAUUAGGAUAUUUUUUAGUUAUGAUCCUAUUAAUUAGGGUUAUCAUUGUAGCCUUUUUUCAAAGACAUUUAUUUGGAAUGAUAAUAGCUAAUAACAGAUAGCUGCAGAGUUUUCACCCACAAAAACAUUAUAGCAUGAUAGCAGAGUGCGAGAUAACCACUCUAUUUAAUGUUAUAAUAAUACUAUUAAAAUUUAUAAUAAAUAUUCUACCAUUAAAAUGUAGCAUAAAUCACACUCAUAGCCAGUGAGGUUUUUUCGAAUGACACUAACACCCCAGUUCUUUAAAAACUUUACUCAAACCUCCCCUUUGUUUUAAAAACAUUACAUUUGCCCCCCUUUUUACAGUAAACAUGUACCCCCAUGCAAUCCCAUUUUACAUUUCAUAAUGACAAAAGUCGGGGGUCUCUGUGAUUUACUCAAAUUAUAUUCAAUAUUCUGCUGUUAGAAAAUCAUAUAUGAAUAAAAAAAAGGUUCAAUAGUCCAAAGUUGAAACAUGGUCUUUGUUUGGAACCACCAUUGGCUUGGCAGACUCCGACCAGUGCUAUAUAUUUAAAUAAAUUUAUAAAAAAGUGCAUUGACACAGUGGUUGCCUUGACUAAUGUUUGUACAUGCCCUAUAUUUGACCCUUCCCAACCUAGCUUUGUAAGCUAUUUAGAAAUUACAUGCCCAAUCCCACAUCACUCAAGCCCAAUAAGCCAUCAUAAACCUAAAUCUCAUCUACAUACAAAUGUGAUGAGCCACCACAAGCCCUCACAUACACACAAGCAUAGUUUAAUUUUUCCUCUCUCUUCUCUCUUUCUUUUUCUCUCUUCUUAUGCUCCCUCUACGCUACAACAAACUUUAAGAGACAACUACUUUUUUUUUGUGCCAAUAAAGGUAUUUCUAGUGCGACCGAAUUCACUGAUUUUGUCCAGUCUAAUCUGAUUCAGAUCCAGUUCAAUGACAUUGACACCAGUUCGAGAGCAGGUCCAAUCUUGUGACUUGAUCCAACUGACCACAAGUUCGGUUUAUAAUCAAAUCAGCCAAUCCAAGAAAGUUUAAUAACACUACUUGAAACUAAACAAGCAUAGACUGGGAUUAUAAUAGGCUGGUGAGUAUAGAACAGAGUUGCAUAGACACCAGUUUGAGAACAGAUCCAAUAUUAUGACUGACUGAACUGGUCACAAGUUUGGUUUAUGGUCAAACCAACCAGCCAAUCUGACCUGAGUUUAAUAACACUACAUGAAACUGAACAAAAAGUGUAUGCGUACGUACCUAUGGUGUUUCCUUCUUUUCCAUCCUGAUUAUAUUAUUUAAGAUUGGGUUUAUGAUUGGUUGGUGAGUAUAGCACAGAUUUGAUGUUCAAAAAACAAACAGGAAUACUUAGGAACGCAUUGGUGUGCUAGAACUUGUUAACAUCAAGUCAUCUAACACCAAACAAACACCUAGAAUAUAGACAGAGACUAGCAAAAAACCUUUAGGUUUUGGUGGGCUAGAACUUCCUCUAGGACGCUUGUGAGACAAUGUAAUAUGAUGAUCCUUAGGCCCUGCAUCAAGGAAUGCUAGUAGACCCUGCAUCAGUAAGUUAAAAAAUAACCUAGUUCAGGAUUUAUUUAUGAAUAAUGUUUCAAUUUCUCAAUAAAAAAUGUCUUGAUCAUAGCAAGUUAAAAAAACUGUAUCACAUACUUCCAAUAAGCUUUCGGGUGGAACCAUUCCAAUCCAAGAGCGCAUCUUUUGGCCAGUGAUGGGGUCAAUAACAAGUACAACAGGAAUUGAAUCCAGUCGGUAAUAAGUGCAGACUUUUCUGCCUUCAGUUGUAUCAUCAUAUACCUAUAUGCAAAAACAAUAAUUGACAAUGAAAAAUUGUAUAUAAUACAAAAAAAAUACAACAAAUGUACGUGUUUAAUAUCAGCAACAAAUACUUUUGAAAAUAUCACCAUAAACCCAAAUGCAAGCAGCAACCACUCUUAAAGAAUUGGAACUAUAGAGGACUUAAAACAGCUACCACAGGGGGAAAGCAGUUGCCAUUCACUGGUUAGAGCAAGUUUACAUAAGCAAAAUUGCCAAGAGUACAAGAUUUGAGAAGGACAAGAAAGAAGACUUAAGUAAUGGAUGCUCCUAAAUUAAAGAAAGUAUUAUUUCAAUCAUCCAACCCGAUCCCAUAAAGUAUCAACCUGAUGAUUCUCCCACCAAAAGCAAUUGUUACACUUACACACACACACACAUCAUCACAAUAUCUAAACACAUAUAUAAUAAUUCAUUCACUUUUAUUUUUAAAUCCAAUGGAUCAUAUUUUUUUGUUUCAAGGACAUGAUCCAUGCAAUAUCCCAAAGCUAACAACCAAGGACUGAUCUAAUUAAUACUUAAUGGAUCAAAGUCAAUUCAUCAUAAAUUUUUUCAUAUUUAAUUUUUUUAGUAUUCUCUCCUCGCCCAUUCUCUCUCAAUGGAUUGGAAUUGGAUCUAUCAAGUCCAAAAUUCAAAAUUCUUAAUAAAAAAAUUGUAUUUAAAAACUCUAAGAGAUAAAUAAUAUUUUCUAACAAAUUAAAAAUGUCAUUAAAAUAAUAGACACACAUUCAAUGUUGUUUUCACUCAAAACAUGAUUUAAGAUCAAAUACAAGCAUACAAAAUUACUGAUAAAGAAAGUUUCACCAAAUUAAGUUGAACAAGAAAACACUCAUUGAACAUAAACAAACAGACUGGGUUAUUUACUUUAGUUACUACUUGCACCAGAAAAAAUCAAUAGUGUUUGAAGUGAAACUAAAAUUUUAUUUAGAAAUAUCUGAAGUCUUAUACCAUGUGGAAAGAUUGAAUUAUUAACAAUGAAUCUUGUACUACAGAUAGAUCACAGAUUCACAAUUUCAAUAUUUAAACAAUUAUUCUAGUUCAUUCAUCCUAAAUCCUCCUUCGGCUUUCAGCUAGCUAUAAUCUUUUAAUCAACCAACGAAUUGAACCCAUGGUAUAUUGAAAGAACAAUUGGAGUUUGCUUUCAACUUUCAAAAACUAUGAUAUUUUAAUUUGUCAAAAAGUAUUUUUUUAUCUCUUAGUUUUCAAAUAGUAUUUAUUUUAUCAAGAAUUUUCGACCACCUAAAUCCAAUUCCAAUUCAUUAACAGAAAGGGGAGAGGGAAAUGGGGGGCAGGGAAUAGAGAAAGAAGAGAAUAUUUAACAAAUAAAUUUAUUUCAUUUUUAAAAUAUAUUAUUUUAUUGGAUGCCCAUCCAUUAAAAAUUAUAAUGGAUGGAUUGCAUUGGAUUUUAUUAGAUGGAUCAUGGAUGGAUUGGAAUUGUUAGUGGAACAAAAUAAAUUAUUUGUAUCCGAUCUGUAAUGAUCUGGCUAAGAAUUGAUUUGAUUCAUCCAUUUUAUCAUCCAUACAGAUAGAAAAUAUUAUGAAUCAAGAGGCAUAGACAAAUUCCAGUUACUGUAAACCUAAUUUAACUGGGUCUCACUGACUCAAGUGCUCUAUACUUUAAUUGAAAGCUGCUGUCUAAACUACCAACUAAAUGUAAAUGUCCAUCAAACUAAUAAUAGACACAGUUAAGAGAAAGAUAUACAUAAAAUUUAACUAAACACAAGAGAAAAUGUAAUCUGACAUGAGCCCAUUUUGAAGUCCAAAUAUCAAAAUCCUCCAAACUUCAUAAUUAAUUUAAUUAAUCUGAGUGAAUUUGUUCUUUUAUCCAAAAAUUACAAUAAGACAUGGUUAAGCUUAACCGCAUACCGUUAGAGUGCCAUUCUGUGUAUUAUGGGCAAGAUAAUAUCCAGAAACUUUUUUGAAGAAAUUUGAGAAAUUAUACGUACUCUUAUAUAAAUGCCAGGUAAAUAACAUUUUGAAAAUAGAAAAAAAAUUAACCACCAGUGUUCAAGUCAACAGAGUAGGAAACUGACCUGCCAGAAUAUACAGUUUGUACUAAUAGUCUGAGAAACAGCUUCAUUGGCCCAUGUAUCACGAUUUAGCUUCACAAAGUGAUCAUGAUAUUAGUGCCAAUGCUGAAACAGAUCAAGAGAAAUGAAAAUGGAAAACCAAGAAAAUAGUACCAUAUGGGAGCUGAAUUCCUUGGUAGAUUGUAUGUUCACCAACAACCAUUUGUUCUGCACGGAAGCAGCAUCUUUUGCCUGCAUACAAAGGCCAAAUGUUUAGUCACAACGUAUACCAUUUACAUUUACAUUUCAAAAUAUAUGCACUGCUCAUCUAGACGGACCUGCUACAACUUUUAGGCAAAAAUUCCCAUAAACUAUGGAGAUGGAAAUGAUUGUAAUCCAAAUGAGUUUAGGGCAUCAACUUGUACUAUUAACAGACAGAUGAAAAAGAAAAAAAAAGGAAGUGGCAACUUAAGCACUCUAUCAUGUAUGCAAAACAGAAAUAAUCUAUAUCUUAUUAGAGAUCUCACUAUGAUAGACCAAUUCCUGAAAUAGGUAGGUAUUAGCCAGUUCUAAUUUUGUACAAGUUAUUAAGCAAUUAUUUUUACAUUAAUUUCAUAUUAGGCAGUAUAUGUCUGAUAUGACAGUUACAGUGAUUUAUAGGUUCUGUGACUGACUUGUAGAAGACAAUUACAGUGUUGAAUUGUUAUCCCUUGUCUGUAAGGAAUGAUGAAACUCUUUCUUAGGAGCAAUGUUAUCAAAAUCGCAAGUAUACUUGCAAACUCACACAAUCUAUGAGUACGGAAGACCAAAGAGAGAACAAGUGCAAAGCAGAACAUGAAGGUCACGGAUCGUUGCAAGAUUGCAACUUCGCUCAUGAAAUCAGCAGAUCAUGCAUCAUGUCAAUCCUGAAAGCGUUCAUGCAGACUCAGACUUUGUUGCCCAGUUCUAGUUCCCAACUCCUGUAGUUGGCUUUCCAGUUUGGGUUAUAAUGACCCAAUUUAAAAAAAUAUAAAAUAUGACCCUUGGAUUACCAAUUGCAAAUCAGAAUCAAACAUCCUACUCUGUUCCACUAUGCUCAUCAACGACAGGUUGUCACUGACCAUAGCAGCGUACCAUAGUCAUCUCUGGCCCUUGUAACACUCGUGUCUCAGUAGUUGCCAGCCAUCACAACUAGCACUGACGCUUGCAUCACCGUAGACAAGGUUCACAUCACCAUCGCUGGCACCAACUCUUGGGGGUGCCAUUUUUUCUUGUUGCUUUGGCUGUUCAGAGUUUUUCUUCUCAGAGAUACUUAUUUUAUUAUUUUAGUUAACCAUCACAAUUUAAAAGACAUUUCUUCUCAGUGUUUGUUCUAUAAUUUUUCUUCUGAAUAUUUUCUCUUAUUCUUGCUUCCAUUUAGAUUGGGAGCAUUAUGUCAAGUUCAUAAUUUGUAUUAAGCAAUUAUGAAUUUACUAGUUAUUAUCAGUUAUUCUAUGGCUUAUGAAACUAUUUGUGUUAUGUAUUGGAGAUAUUUAUGAUUAUUGUCUAUAUUAUUUUAAAAUAUAGUUCAUGUCUAUAAAUGUAGUUUUUCCUAUAUGUCUUAUGAGUCGAGUUAAGAUCUGUUAUCCCCCUUCCGGUUCUCUUACAAUCAUUGAGUUUGACAACAUUGUUAGGGAAACACUCUGAGUAUAUACACAAACAAAUAUGUCCUAAAACCCAAGUUAUUUCUUUCUUUAUUUAGAACUCAGCUUGUUUAAUUCUUGAGUCCAACACAUUACUAGAGAAGGAAAAUUAUUUAAGUGGUGGUGAUGGAGAUCACUAUAACAACUCCCAGUCCUAUGUUAAACAAGGCUGAUUGAAGAUUAUAUGCAAAUUUUGAAAUGUUGUUUGCCCAAUAGCUAGAAAUACCAGAAUACAAGGGUUUGGAGUAUUUUAUGAACGGGAUUAAUAAUGUUACUACGAGAAAGUUGUGAACUUGCAACCAAAAGAUGUACCAAAGGAAAUUGGUCUUUCAAACUCGACAUAAAUUGAAUUGUAUGGAGAAACAAUGGGUUUUGAGUCAAAGAGAACAAUAUGUAGAAUCUUUCCCUAAUGCCUGGCAAACAGGUGAGUUUGUGACAACUAAACUCGGAAUGUUAGGAAGAGAAAGGGAAGAUGUUGGGUCAGUCUGGUUUUCACCCUAACCCUAAUCAAUUGGGUGAUAGUCGAGCAAGGGUGCAGAAUUCUAAAACAUUAGCAUCAGUUGGGCAACCCAAUACCAAUUCUGAAAGAAGUAAUUAACAAACUUCUGAGUUCAGAAACAGAGGUGCUAGAAACUUAUCAUACCAGGAGUAUGUGAGGAGAAGAGAGAAAAGUUCACUGUUCUCACUGUAACAAACAAUUUGGCCAUUCCAUAGGUGUCGUAAAAAGAAGUAAAAAUGCUUAUUCAAGAGCAGCAUGAGGGGGAGUUUUUGGGAAAUCAAGGGCGUGAGGGUGCGUCGGAGUGUCAAUCGCCACAAUCUUUGUGCAUGGCGGUCGCCUGAUCGAGACAAUCUGAACAAUGGUGUCGUCGGUUCAAACAGCGAUGACAACUGCACAACGGUGGCUCGAAAAAAAAAGUCACUGGUGAACAAUGGGUUCACCAGGAUUUACCUAACUCUAGAUACCAUGCGAAAAUAAAGUAAAAAGAGGUAUAGGAUUAAUCCCUUGUGUAUAAUGAACACAUAGGAUUAUGUAUUUAUAGAUAAGAAACAUACAAAAGAUAUGGGCUAAGCCCAUUACAUCUAACAUAUGUAAUGAUGACUAUGGUUCAGAUAUUAAUGACUAAAAAUAUACUUCUUUUGCUUGUUCAUUUCAUUCCUUAGGCCUCCCAACCUGAUGUCACUUAUUGGUGGUCCAAGAAAUAAACCUUGGUUACCAAAUGCAUUACUGAAGCAGAAUAAAGGAGUCUUGUUACUUCAGCCUCGGAGAAUCAAUGGGUACAGUCUCAACUGAAACAACUACAGGUUGUUUGCUCCACACCUACAAUAUACCUUGACAAUCAAAGCAUUGUUGCUUUGAGUUGAAGCCUUGUGUUGCACCAUUAAACAAAAUACAUGGAAGUGAACAUCUUUUUGUCAAAGAAGAAGGCUAUAGAUCAUUCCCACAUAGUUGCUCGUGUUGCUCAAGAUCAAAUUGCAAACAUUUCACCAAGCCUCUCUCUAAACUCAGAUCUAUAACUCAGACAAACUCAAGUUCUCAAACAUCACCAAUCACCCUGAGUUAUAGGGGACAUGCUAAAGCAUAUUGUAUACGAUUAGUUAGUUGUCACCUAAAUUUGGUUAUAAUUCAGUUGUACCUAACCAUCCUUUGGUUGUUAGAUAUAACCAACUAAAGUCAUCCAUAAAUUGUGAUCAAUUGUACUUUACAACAAAGAUUAUCGAUAGCUUGUUUUCUUUGUUUUCUCUAAAUUAUCUCUAUGGCAUACCAAUCUAAAAAAUUUAAUGUUAAUUUCGAAUUAGGUAGUUAAACAUUAUGAUAUCUAAUAAUUAUACACAAAUUGUGUGACAGGCUUGUGAAAGGAAAUUAAAGUGCCAAAUUGUUAUUCCUUGCCUCUUGGGAGCAGGAAACACCUACGUUAGGGGGAAACCCCUAGUUUGUACACAAAUAUGUCCUAAAGACUAAUAUAAUUUUAUCUUUAUUGAGAAUUUAGUGUGCUAAAUUCCGUGAGCCUAACACAGUACUAGUGUGUGUUUUUUAAAUUCUCUCCACAUUGUGUUUGGCUUCACUCUUUCCACUCCAACAGAAUCUGGAAAAUCCAAUCUAAGAAGCAUGUUUACCUUAUCAAAAGGACCAUUGAACAUCAGAUGAAAUGGUGGGCGAUAAAGUGAAGCAAGGUUGUCCCGAGAAGUCUCUGCUGUAGAAGCAGCACCUUGCUCUGGCUCCCAAACUCCUGGAUUUCUCAUUUCCUCUUCAAAGUUACGAAAUGCAACUAGGGUGCUUGGUUCUUGUGAACGAUGCCCAACCCUUGAUGCUCUGCAUAAACAUGACAAAAAACAACAUAAAUACAUAGUUUGAAUGUCAAAGCAACAUAUAUACUAUAGCACAAGAAAGUAGACUUAUAAAACUCAAUGAGCCAAACUAAAAAAUACGCAAAUAUUUCUUAAAGAUAAGACAAGUAAUAAAACAACAUUAAUUGAAUUCAGGCUACAAUAUCAAGGACUAAAAAGUAAAAACAACAUUAAUCCUUUAUGAUACAUCUCAAAUACCAUAAAAAAAAAUUGUCGGCAUUAUACUUCUUGGUGGGUAGUCAUCAAACAGACACGCCAAGACACGCCAUAUUCAAAAAGUUAAACCUUCCAGUUAUGUAUGGAUAUCAAGACUGUCUAUCUAGAUUCAACAAUUGAUUCUUCUUUCACCUAAUUUUGUUUCACAACUCAAAGGCACACAUAAACAGCUUGCAGAUUAUACAAAUAUAUAAUCCAGAGAAUAAAAAACACCGAAUAAUAUGCAUCUCUGACAAAACAAAAGAACAAAUGAGGAAAAAAAAACAUACCCAUACAGCAUUGCAUCGUCAUAGAGAGUUUCCCUUAUUACAGGCAAGGGAGGGCGCACUUCAUCUGCCUCGUUGAGUCCAACACUUUCACUCGCCGUUGCGUCCUUCCUCGGUUCACUGAAACAACAAGUACAAGUUAGAGAGAAAGCAACCCACAAAAAUCACUUACAAAUAGCACAGGAAUCGGAGUACAACCUCGGAGGUUGGUCAGUCCAGGAAUCAACAUUUUCCAAAGGUGGGGUGUGCAAAGUUGGAGGCGGCACUGCCCCACUUUCACUACCUAUCAAAAACAACUGGAGGGCCUCCUCAAGCUUCCAACUGGUAGCCUGUUACAACAUCAAUCACAACAACAACCCUAAUAUUCCGUAGAUCUGUUAACAAAUAACAAUAGUCUACACUUCUCUCUUGAUUAAAAUUCACUCCCCGCCCCUAUGAGUGGUAGGAAGUUUCAAGAUUACACAAUAAUGAGUGUAGAAAGAUGUGAAAUUGGGGAAUUUGGGAGAGAGCGAAACCUGGAGGAACUGGCGCGCAGUUUCGGCAGUCUGGCCCUGAGCGACCUCAAGAAACGAAGAAACCAUGCUCUGCUGCUCGUUCGUGGACAGCACUCCUUCCAUUGAUUCCGAUCGAGAAGGGAUUAGGGUUCGUUCCAAUCCAGAGGAAGAAGAUGAAGAAGAAUAUGAGUACUCAUUAACCAACUAACACACUCUUCUCUGUAAUCUUUAAUGUUUUUGUGAAAUAAUAAUAACAAUAAUAAAUUAUUAUUAUUAGAAUGUUUCUCUUCCUAACUUUUACAUAUUAUUAUUAUAUUGGCAAAUAUAAUUUUAAAAAAUAUUUUUAACAAUAAUUUAUCACAUGUUAAUCUAUUUCACUGUAUAAAGAUAACUUUUUUUAAUGUUAUUUUUUAAUUUAAUUAAUAAAAUGAAUAAUUGAUUUUUUAUUUUAAAAUAAUUAAAUAACUUUUUUUAAAUAACGGGUAUAUAAUUUUUAAUAUCAUUUUUACAAAAUUAUAUAUAUAUAUUAAAUUCUAUUAUUUUUUUAAUUAAUUAUUUAUAAAAAUAAUAAAACUAUAUAGAUUAUAAAGCUAUGCAUUUUUAAUAUAAUCAAAAUGUAAAUAUACGUGUGUAAAAAUACUUGUGUUUUAACUAGUACUUAUUAAUAAUAUUUAUUUAAUUAUAAUAAGAAACAGUAUCAUAAAUAUUAUAUAUACGAAUUAAAUCAAUCAAUUAAAUUAUUAAAUUUUGAAUAAUUUCGAUAAUUUACUACCAAAUUUCUUAUUAAAAUUUGACUAAAAACAUCUACAAAAUAUUUUGCUAAGGUGUGGUUGAGUUUAGUUCUUAAGGACUUAUUUGUGUUGAUUAAGUUUGUGAUGCUAUAAUAGAAUCUUCAUCUUAAGCAUAAAAAAACUAAUAUAGCACAUAUUAUAUAAAAAAGAAUAGAAGAAAAAUGUAAAAUAAAACAUGAAACUUGCUUAAAUUGAAAUCUUUUAAGUUCAAAAGAGAUCCAAAACACAUGACUUAAUUCUCGUGCAAAAUUUAUGAUUCUAGUUAUCUACUUUCAAAGUAUAACAAUCAUGUUGGGUAAAUAAAUUAUUUUGAAAAAUAUUGAACCAAACAAUGGGAGACUUUUUCAACCUUUUGAUAUACACAAAACUACAACACAAAUAACUUAAUUAUCUUUUAUUAUAUUUCUCCAAUUGAUAUUCGACUAAACAACAUCACAAUACUUGAAACCCCAAGUGAUCAUUAGUCGAUUAUCUGUAAGCUCUUUCCACUAAGAAAUUAGAGAUUAACACUUGGUUCACGUCUUUUAGUGAGACAAUAUUGAAAUUUAAUAAAAACAACAUUGAUUUUCAACCUUGCUCUUUACUUUUUGUUAGGGAAAAAAUACAACAAAUGAUGGAUAUAUGUGAACCUUAACAAUGAACAGACAAUAAAAAUAAUAUGAGUGAUACAGUCGAUGUUAUAUGGAAAGAUGCGACAAAUAAAUCAUUUUAUGCCCCAUCAAAUUAAAGGAUAUUGCAUGUCAUACUCUCCUGUAAUAGGGAAAGGUUGAUCAAAAGGGAUUAAGAUCUAUUAAUGAGUUGUCACCAUUAAUCAUUUAGAUUUGGUCUUACCUCUAAUUAUUAUUAUACUAUUAAGUUUAUAUAUCCAUUUUUACUUUCAUAAUUAUUAGCACAAAUCGUUUAAUGACAAGUAUAUCAAUCGCACGAUAGUAAGUAGUAAGUAAUUAUCGUUCUCCUAAAGGACUUGUGAAAUGCACGACAAUAAUUACAACUCAUAACUAAUUUAGACUAAAGAAUAUUUCCAUACAUUGUUUUGAUGUUAACAAAAUUAAAACCGUGCAUAAAUAAUUAAAACCUUUUUUGGGAUUUUAUCAAACCACUUAAAAUGUAUAUGAAAUUAGAUGUGAUGUGUUAUUGCUAGGGUUAGACUUCAUUGAACCUCACUCUCAUGCACAUAAUCACUCGACUUUUUUCCAAUUUAAUACUAUAGUCAAUCCAUGAGUUUUCUCAAACUCAAUUUUCUUAGUAAAAUGAGUUUUAAGUUUCCUUGUUAAGAGUCAGAUCCUUAAGCAUUUAAUAAACAAUUUUGCUUUCACAAUAAGGAUUUAAGACAACUAAGGAGUUAAGUUUCAUUUAUAGAUACAAGCUUUAGUAGGUAUUUUACUUUGGUUAUAAAUUACAAACGAUGUUUUUCAAUACCCAAUGAAUCAAAUAUCAAGUUAUGGGUGAUAAAAUCACAACAAGCAUCAAGCGUAAAAGUUGAGUGUUAUCAUUAUGUCUUUAGUAAUAAAAACAAUUAAUUAUGUUUAGCUUGGAAAAUUGUUACUGUUAGAGCAAAAAUCCAACACCAUGUAGUUUUGAUUAAGUAUUUAAAGUAAUAAAGCAUGAAGUUGUGUUUGAUAUGACGAAAAUCAAACCAUACAAGUAAAUCAUUUAUCAAAUGAUAAGAGCACCGUGACUAACCACAAUGUUAGGUAGUUGAAGAUUAAAGUUUAGACGAUGACUACAUUUAAAAGACCAAGUUGGCAUCCUUCUGACCUAUCAUAUAUUUACGAGUCAAUCCGAUUCCCAUAUCUCCUUGGAUCUCCCGUUAAGUUGUUAGGAGUCCCUUUAGUUGAAUCAUUAUGAGUCUCAGUAAAAGUUGAUUAACCUAACUCUCAAUCAACAAUUUAAUGUUUCCUUUUACUUGUAGUAGCUCAUGCUUUGAUUCACCCUAACCAAUGAUGAGUUUCUAUUAAGAUUGGAGUCUUUCAUUCCUUGUCGCUUCAAUCCAAAUUGAACUCGUCCCAACAACGAAGACCUUCCUAUUGUAAGGUGAUACUCUGCCCUUCCCUUAAAAUCCACUUUGAGUUUUAGGGGUAAAGGAGUAACUAAUCUAACUUAUUGAGUUGUCAAUAUAUUGAACAAUUAACAUUUGAGCGAGCCACCUUGUCUCACUUUGGGAUGAGAGGGAAGGUUGGUUUGACUUAAAUCCCAAACAUUUUCUUUCAUCUUACAUUGUUUUAUGAUGUAAUAAGAUAGAUUUGUUAUUAUUAUUAUGCUAACUUGCUUAGUCCCACUGGGAAAACCUUUGUUCCACUCGUAACUUUAGAAUCCACUCAUUUUUCCUAGUUUCUGAAAGCCCUUGUAUCUUGGCUUACUCUUAUUUCUCAACUUGAGUUUUGAGUUUAGCGACUUUUAUCAUUAACAAAAAUUUGCGCUAAUAAGACAGGUGGGGAGUGUAUGCCUUUUUCAUAAAAUAUAAAGCUCUUUAUACUUUAACGAAUAAAUAACAUCAAAUUCAUAGAAUAAAUGGUCAAGAAACUAAUAGAGAGAGAAAUGUCCUUUUCAUUAUUGGUGGACAUUUCGUUAAAUUGAACUGCUCAUAGAGCUUUUGAUUGAGUUGUUUAUGUUUUAGAAUUCCAUGGAUAAUUAGGGGUUUAAGUUCAAAGGUUACAAAAUGUAGUGUUUUUUUUAAGGGUGAUCAAAGAAACCAAAACUUUUUGCUACUUUCUUUUCUAUUUCUAUUUCAUAGCGAAAUAUUUCCUUUGUAUCGAAAUCUUAACAAAAAUUUUAAAAAAACAAUUGAAUUGAGAACACAAAAUAUUACUCUAAUCACACAUUCUCACAUCUCUCUACAUAACAUAUUACAAUUAUCUUUUUCUUUAACGUUAAAUUAUUUUGUUAAUUAUAUUUUAAAGAAUAUUUUUCUUAUAACUUCUUAAUUAUAAUAUUUAAUAAUGACUCGUAUUAUUUUAAAAGUUUUUAAAAUGCAACACAGACAUGUGUUUUCAUAAUUAAAAUGUACUCAAUAAUUAAUGGUUAUAAAAUUACAUAUUGUUGGAGAUCCCACAUCGACUAGAGAUUAGAGCCUUUCAUCGUAUAUAAGUGGGUGCAAACCUUAACCUCAUGAGCCGGUUUUAUGGGGUUGAGUUAGGCUAAAGUCCAUUUCGUAUCACAUAUAUAAUAUAAUUUAUAAUUUAUAAUUAUACAUAAAAGAGACUUUCUUUGCGUAAAUAUUUUUCUUUUCUAUAUUAGUCUAAAAUCAAAAUUUUUUUUGGUUUUCUUUUAUUUCUAUCACAAUUAUCUCACACUCGAUAUCAUUUCAAAUUUCUUAAAUGGUAAAUUUAAAUAUAUGAACAAAAUUAUUUUUAAACAAAACAACAUAAGAAAUAGUUUUUAUUUUUUACUUAUUUUUCUUUUUCAAAUUUUCACAUAUCAUUUGAUCUUAAAAUUGAUAAUGCGGGUAGGUUGGAUAGGACAACUCGUGGUCUGAUAGGAAAAAACACUAGAUAAACUUACUAUUUUAACAUAUUAACUUGUUUAGGUUCAUCCCAUAUAACUAGCGAUCCAUACAAACUAAGUACGAGAUGAAGUUGAUCAACCCCGCAUAACCUCAUAUCUUAAAAUUUUAUUUCAGUACCUAAAAAUAACACGGGGAGUGCAACCAACCUUAAACAUAAUUUCUCUUACAUAUAGUUUUCUUAACCACAAAUUUUUUUGCAUGAGUUAUUGAGAAAAUGAGUCAAAAUAAUCAAAUUAUUAAAUUAUAUAUUUUUUAUAAUUAAUAAAAUUUCAUUAAAAUACAUUUAUAUAUAUAUAUAAUUUUUUCAAAAAUAUUUUUCUUUUGUUAAUGAAUGCGGAAUAAACCUAUAAAAUCAAACAAUUAGUAGCCAAAUAUUAAAUAGGCUAGCUUCCAUUAUCAUUCCUAUUUAAUAUGUAUAAAAUAAGAUCACUUUUAUUUUAUUUUAUUUUAUCUUAUCCUCAUUCUAACUAAGGUGAUUCUGCCACAUAAAUCCAAUUUAUUUAGUACACCUUUCAACAGCGACAACCCAUUCUUCAAAUAUAAUUUUAAUAUCAGUGUAUUUUUUAAUAUUUUUAUAGGAAUUUGAAGUUGGAAAAAUAUGUUUUCACAUUUAAUUUACUUUUUAGAAAAUAAAAUUAUCACUAAACUAAUUAUUCGAUUAUAAGUCUUAGUUAAAUUUUCCACAAAAAAAUCCCAUGGAGAGAAACUAUCUUUUUAAAAUAAAAAAUCACUUAAAUAGUUACCAUGUUACUUUUGUUAAAUUAUUUAACACGUUAACAAAUUAGUGUUUGCCAUUAAAAUAACAAAUUAUGUAUGGGUUCAUACAUAAAAGAAUAUGUAAAUAUUGUUAGUAAUAAUUUUCGUUAACGAAAUAGAAUCGAGUCAUUAUAAUUUCCACAUUCAUGAUAAUUUGUAAUUCUUUUUUAUAAAAUAUCUAUUUUUGUGUUGUUAACACCAUUAAAAUAUAGGUAGGGUUAAAUGUUUUUUUCUUAAUGAUUAAAUUAUUUUAUUUAAUUAGUAUUUUUUUGUAAUGGAUAGCAUACUGGUUUUAACUAUUUGAUAAAAUUAGAUUUAAGUUUACUUAUAUAUAUAUUUUUUUAAAAAAAUUGUGUUGAUGGGUUGGUAUAUUUAAGAUUUAUUUAUAAAAAAAUAUUUUAUUGGUAUAAUAAAUUUUUUUUAAUUUAUUUUUAGAAAUCGGUAUAAAUAGAUAUAAUUUAAUUAUGUAUUUUUGUUAACAUAUAAGAUUCUCUCUAUUUUUUCAUAUUUUUUAAUUUUUUUAUUUAUUUUAUUUUAAUAAUAUAAUGUUUGAGGUAUCAGUGUUUUUAUGAUUAAGAUCCGAGAAGGGAGUGGGUUGGCCCGAACCGUAACCCGAAUUCGAAACCCGAAACGUGAAACCCGAAACCCUGUUGAGAAGCAUAGCAGCGGUAACAUAAUAGGUUUUAUGGAGGGUUUAUUGGCGGCUGGGUUGUGUGGUGUUUGUUUCAGAUCUUUUGCAGUUAACACAACACCGUAACGCUUUCUCUUCUCUUUCUCUUAUCUCCGAAAUGUGGACCAAAUUAGCGAAGCGAGCUUCAUCAACAAUAAGGAACAGUUUCCGUGUUUCUUCUUUAUCUCCCAGAUUUUUGCAGCCUCAAACAAGUACAAUACUAUGCACAUACCCAUGCCAGGGUUUAGCCAGAGUGGGAGUGAAUCGGUCCUCGUUUUUUUACGAAGGUUUUUCUUCGCCGUCUUUGAUGGUGGCCGGUAAAGGUUACGCCACGGUUGCGGAGGCAAUUGAAUCGACGGACACCGAAGACGAUCACGAGGAGGUUCAGGAACUGUUGCAGGAAAUGGCGAAGGCGGAACAGAAAUUGGACUGCAGCAGCUACAAGUACAAGAUGCUGAAGAGGAGGCAGAUAAAGGCGGAGACGGAGGCGUGGGAAGAAGCGGCGAGGGAGUACGAGGAGCUGUUGGAGGACAUGCGCAAGCAGAAGCUUGCUCCCAAUUUGCCAUUCAUGAAGUCGCUCUUCCUUGGUUGGUUCGAGCCGCUAAGGAAUGCGAUUCUCGCUGAACAAGAGCUUUGUAAAGAUAGCAGGUGCCGAUUGAACCACGGUCCUUAUUUCAACGAUUUGCCCGCGGACAUGAUGGCUGUGGUCACCAUGCACAAGUUGGUGGCUCUGUUGAUGACCAAUUCGAAUGGCGUGGGCACCGCCAGAGUCAUCCAAGCCGCUUGCCAAGUAGGUGAAGCAAUUGAACAUGAGGUAUACGAGUCUCUCUAUCUAUGACUGCGACAUUAAUUCGCUAACGCAAGUGUGAUUGAUUUCGGUUUUUAUUGUUCAACUUGGGUAUUACUCUGUUGAAUUCGCAAUGUUCAAGUGUUCGUUAACUGAAAUGCUACCCUUCUAUGUGGAUCAGGCUAGGAUAUUCCAUUUUAUGAUGAGGGAGAAGAAAACCACCGCUGACAACUCAUCUCAUCUUGCUCCUGCAGUACAAAGCGGAAAAGUGACUGGAGAGACCGAGGAAAUGGAACAAAAGAAGAACAAGCUUCGGAAAAGAGUUGCUGGUUUGAUGAAAAAACAGAAGAGGCGACAAGCGAUGGGAAUAGUUCGGGGUCAAGAUUAUUGGAAACCUUGGGGGCAAGAAGCUCAAGUAAAGGUUUGUGAUGCUUGUACUUGUAAGUUGUACCUGCGAACAUGGAAAGUUUAUUCUGUUUGUAUUACAAUGUAUUUAUUGUACGUUCCAGGUUGGCUCUCGAUUGAUUGAAAUGCUAAUAGAAACAGCUUACAUUCAACCGCCUGCCAAUCAGUUUGGAGAUGGUCCACCGGAUAUACGCCCAGCAUUUAAGCAUACCCUUAAGACACUUUCAAACGAGUCACAGUGAGAUUGACAGUACUCUUUCACAAUCAAUAUCUACAAAUUUGAACGAUUACUUUUUCAUUCCUAAACAAUCGAUGCUUUCUACUUAACUAGGAAGGAAACUAGGAGAUAUGGUGUUAUUGAAUGUGAUUCUCUGGUGCAAAAUGGCCUUGAGAAGUCUGUAAGUAACUCUACGGAAUGCUUCUUCUUGAAUUCAUGUCCCCUUUUCUUUAAGUAGGUUAUAGGCAGAAUUAUUAUAGGUCAUGCUAACAUGUCUUGUACUUUCAGCUAUACUUCAUGCUUAAGUUUGUGAGUUUGAUGCUAACAUAAAAUUUUGUUUAUUUUGGCAGGCACGGCACGUGGUCAUCCCUUACAUGCCAAUGUUGGUGCCACCCAUUAGCUGGACAGGGUACUAUAGAUGUUUAUACAUUUUGUUUUCUUAUUAUAAAGAUUUAGCUUUUUCCCAUUCGUUUUAUCUUUAGUUUAAUUCCCUAAUGUAAUACCUACAUUUUUUGAUAGUAUAAUUUGAAUCACAUGAACAAGUUCAAACAUCUAAUUACUUUGUGUAUGCUUUACUGAUUUUUCUGUGAUAAGAACCUUUUGGCAUCCCACUUCGGAUUGAGUAAUGACUACAUUUUGCUUAUUGCAAUAUCUUUUGUAGCUAUGACAGAGGAGCAUACUUUUUUUUGCCAUCGUAUGUGAUGAGAAUCCAUGGAGCUAAGCAGCAACGUGAAGCAGUUAAGAGGGCUACCAAGAAUCAACUUGAUCCUGUUUUUGAGGUUUGGAUAUUCUUUUUAAAAUUAUGUUUUUCUAAGUCUAUUCAUGGAUUGCUGUUGAUAGUUGUUGAAAUUAAUUCUGGUAUUGUUCUGUUACUAGGCCCUUAAUACUCUUGGCAGUACCAAAUGGAGGGUAAACAAAAGGGUUCUGUGUGUGAUGGAUCAAAUAUGGGCUAAUGGAGGACGCUUGGCCGAUUUGGUGGAUCGUGAUGAUGUAAGCAAUAAACAAACCUUGUUGCUAUAUUUAUCUGUUGAAUACCCAGAUUCCCACAAAACUUGGCCCACUUUAUUGGAAGAAAUGAUAUUCCACUUGAGUAGCUUCCAGCACAACAGUAUAUAUUUCUUGGAAUCAUGCAUGAUUUUUAUUUUUCGUUUAGGGUUUGAUAUGUAUUAAUCGAUAAAAAAAACAUCUGAAUUCUUAAUUUACAUUUUCCUAUCAAUUGAAGAGUGAGGGAAAAGAUAACAAGGGGCAUAAGUGGGAAUAUAGUUGUAAUGAACUUACAAAUGCAGCUAGGUGUUUGUGAAAGAAGGAUCCUUCCUAAUUGAGUUAUUGGGUAUCUACUCAUUGAGACAAAAUUGGGACCUUUGGGCAGUGAGGAAGUAAUCCCCUGAAGUUCUGCAUUGCCUUGGUUCAUUUUUUAUAUUUUAUUUUAUUCUUCUACAUUUAUAUCGAUCUGCGGACUUAGUGAUAUCAGUGUCAAUGGUCUUUUACAAUAAAGUUUGUAUCAGUUGCUUCAAAGUUUCUAUUGGAUAUAAAUUUUUGAAUGUGUUGUCAAAUAUAACUCAAGACACCAGGGUUGUUCACUGGUUUUUGAUUGAAUUCUCUUUUUAAUCUCAAAGGUUCCCCUCCCUGAGGAACCAGAUACAGAAGAUGAAGCAGAAGUCCGAAAAUGGAAGUGGAAAGUCAAAACUGUGAAAAAGGAGAAUAAUGAGAGACAUUCACAGCGAUGUGACAUAGAACUUAAACUGGCUGUAAGAAAUCUGCUACUUUUAGAGAGAUUGAGUUAUGUAGUAAAUGCUUUCCAGGAUAUGUUGCAUAUAUUUAUCAUUGUUGCAUUACAUUGGCUUUUUUGGCUGUAGGUUGCACGAAAGAUGAAGGAUGAAGAAGGUUUCUAUUAUCCUCAUAAUCUUGAUUUUCGAGGGCGAGCUUAUCCCAUGCACCCAUAUUUGAACCAUCUUGGUUCUGAUUUAUGCCGAGGCAUACUUGAGUUUGCAGAGGGACGUCCUCUAGGGAAGUCAGGGUUGCAUUGGUUAAAAAUACAUCUUGCAAAUUUGUAUGCUGGCGGUGUCGACAAGUUAUCUUACAAUGAUCGAAUAGCAUUUACUGAGAACCACCUGGAUGAUAUAUUUGAUUCUGCAGACAGGCCUCUUGAAGGUAAUCGCUGGUGGUUGCAAGCAGAGGAUCCUUUUCAGUGCUUGGCAGCAUGCAUGAAUCUCUCUGAAGCAUUGAGAAGUCCUAAUCCUGAGACUACCAUUUCUCAUAUGCCAGUACACCAGGUACGUUGUGUGGGAUGUCAGAAAUUGUUAUUUGGGAACAACUAUAUUAACUGAUUUUACAUUUUAUACUACAAAGACAACUCUGCUACCAUUUUUAAUUGAAAUUUUCAUCUAAAUGGAACAGUAUAAUUUUUUCUUUCAGAAGCAUAGUUGUUAGCAGGAGGGUGAAAACCUUUAAAUUGGAGUUGCAUCUUAAUCAUAUAAGUUGAAAGAAAUAGAUGAAAUAUAUUUCUGAGAUAUUUUACAAAUGUGAUUACAGUCUCUAUUUAUAGACAGUUUUACAACCUAAUUAAGGAAAGAAAUAAUAGGUAAUGAAAGCCAGAAAUAAUGGGUGUUUAAAGCUGUACAAAUAAAAUAAAAUAAAAUCACUAACAAAUCUGUCCUAAUAAAAUGGAAUCUGCACUUAAUUAUAACAUAAUUCUCCUUAUGCAACAAUAUAUAUUCAUGCAGAUAAAGUUUACCUUUUGGGAGGAAGACACAGUAAAACGUAGUCAUAAUAACUCUUGAUAAUUGAGAAAUGUGUUAAUUAUAAUAAUCACAUCACUCAGGCAACUUAUUUAUUUUAAAAAUGUGUUUACUAGGAUUAUUUUCACCUCUCUUGGAAGUUUUUCCUUGGUACAUUUUGAAAUUGAGUUGUGACAAAUAUCUAAUCAAUAUUAAUAUUACAUGUAAAAUUAGAUGUAUAUUAGUCGUAUUUGCUUGUUGCAUACUAGUAUACAGCAACAUGCUGUUCAUUCAAUGUGUAAGAACUUGGGUUUUCAUUCAGCUGUACCUAGGAAUACAUAAUAAAAAAGAUGAGUUUGUGUUGAUCAUAAUGCGAGGUUUUCAGGUAUCAAAUACCUUAUUAAUUUUAGACUUCAACUAAGUUGGUAUACUUAAACUGUAUCCCAGUAUUGCUCUGACAUUUCCUAGUCACUCACUGCAGCAUGCAUGCUGAUGAAGUUGAGGCUUGAAGGCCACUAAUCCAUUCUUUAGUAUUUCUCUCCUAAUUUUAAUUUUUCCCCAUGCUUGCUAGGAUGGUUCAUGCAAUGGCUUACAGCACUAUGCAGCACUUGGGCGAGACAAGGUAUUUUGCAUUUCUUAUUUUUUCUAAGGUUUUUUGUGUGUAUGAUGAGCGGGUCAGAGUCUAUAGGAGUUUGUUAAAUGUUUAGUUGGGAUGUUCCUUGUCUCUAAUGUUGAGAUGCUGCAUCAAUUGUAGGUAUAUAACCAAAGAAAAUCAUAUAAAUGCUUGGGCAAUCCUCACUUUAUUAGCUAGUUUCUGGGGUUUAGUAAGACCCAAUUGAAAUUGAAUAAUGAACCAACCCUUCAUGCAAAUGGCUUUUAAGCUCCUUCCCCAUCUUGUCUGUGAGAGCAAGACUUUAUUUGUUUCAUGGGAUUGUUAUUCAAUAUAGCUUGAUUGAUAGAAUUAAAAUAUUAUUAACUUUUAAAUUUAUUUUUUAUCUUUUCUCAACUGCUUGAAAUUUCCUGAUUCUUCUAGAAACUGAAACCAUGGAAAUGCAAUGAUUGCCAAAUUAAAAUAAAUUCGUAUUUUACAUUGAUUGCCAAAUUAAAAAAGCCUAAAGUUGAAUUUUUUAUCAACUAAAAUAGUUUCCUUCUUUUUAUUGUCUGGAAACUUAAAAGUGAUAUCUUAAAAUUCAAUGACAUGGAUUUUGAGGUAGUUCUUAAAUUCUGUUGAAGUUGGGGAUGCUGAAAUAUUUUAAAAUCCUAUUGCUGUCAGAGUUCAGCAAUCUAGUGCGAGAAGGGUUUUCUGAAGAUUUGUGGCAUAUAUAAGUAUUUGAGAGGGAGGCAGACAGUAGGGUAGAAAACUCCACCAAUGUCAAUAUUACACUAGUUUAAUUUCAUUUUCAGUCAUCAUUUGCUAUUCUAUAUUUAUAACCUAACGAGAUGAAGGAACCAUUUGGAUUUCUUACAUUGUGUUGAGGGUAGGAUGUUUUCUUUAUGGUUUGAUAUAUAUGCUCGGAAAGGUUGGACCUUGCACGCUUAAGAAUAGUUGCUGUAAACUUUUAUCAAUAUUAAUGACAGCAUGUUGCUAUGAUUCUUUAUAAAUUAAUCACUUUUCAAUUAUAAACAUCCAUUCUAACAUAAAGUAUUUGAGAGGGAGGCAGACAGUAGGGUAGAAAACUCCACUAAUGUCAAUAUUACACUAGUUUAAUUUCAUUUUCAGUCAUCAUUUGCUAUUCUAUAUUUAUAACCUAACGAGAUGAAGGAACCAUUUGGAUUUCUUACAUUGUGUUGAAGGUAGGAUGUUUUCUUUAUGGUUUGAUAUAUAUGCUCGGAAAGGUUGGACCUUGCACGCUUAAGAAUAGUUGCUGUAAACUUUUAUCAAUAUUAAUGACAGCACGUUGCUAUGAUUCUUUAUAAAUUAAUCACUUUUCAAUUAUAAACAUCCAUUCUAACAUAAAGUAGGGUCAACUUUUGGUAGUUUUGGCAUGACAACAUUGUCUUACUUCAGUUCACCCUCUUUUUCUAUUCUGCCUCAUCAUCAAUUUUACUUCUCUUUUUGAAGUUGGGAGCUGCUGCAGUCAAUCUUGUUUGUGGAGACCAGCCUGCUGAUGUUUACUCAGGAAUUGCGGCCAGGUAAUUAUCACUGAUAUUUCUAAAACUGCACUGGUCGUUGAACUUUUAAAGGAAGUAGCUCAUUGUUUGUGUACUAGCCCUUUGACUUAUCCCGGAUGAAUUCUGCAAUGUUGGAAUCACUACCAUUGUCUCUCAAUUGCAGUUGAGAGAGGCAUGGUAAAAAGUUGUGAAUUGAUAAGAACUUUGAGAGGACCUUAGUAAAAAAGCUACCUGUAAUAGUGGAACUCAACACUUUCAAAGUAGGAAUUGAGUCUAAUACCUUGCUAUUCCAUCCUAGUAGUUUUCAACCAUGGAUUGGUAUCUAAGUAAUAACUGAUUAUUUUAAGAGAAGAAGCUACUACUCCGCUUUUCAAUUUCUCUCUAACUAUUUGAUUGCAUUAUAUAGUUGUAUUGUAGUAUUUCCCCCAGAAAUGAAUGAGGAGACCCUAUUAAAUUAUAUAUAUUACUACUACUGUCUUUUUAUUCCUCUAUCUAUGAACACUCUAAAUUUAUUUGCUGUUGGAAAGAAGUUUAUGCCUUUUGACGUCUUUGGCUCUGGCAAUAUGGUGCAGAGUACUUGAAAUCAUGAAAAAGGAUGCAGAGAAAGAUCCCCAAACUAGUCCAAAUGCAUUGCAUGCUAGGCGCUUAAUCAGCCAGGUUUCUUUUAAUUGCAAGUUUCAAACAGUUCUUUUUCUUUUUUGAAUGUUUUCCUCUGGAAUAUUUGAAGAUCAAAUGGUAGGAGCUUGUAGACUUAUUAUUAUUAACAACAUUGUUGACUUCUCUGACAUUACAAGUGGCUUUGAUAUUUUUUCUUUAUAAUGUAAUAUGAAAGGAUAUACAUUUUUGUCAGCCUUAAACUUAUAUAAAUUAAAUACUAUCAUAAUUAACAUUAGGUGGACCGAAAGUUGGUAAAACAAACUGUGAUGACAUCAGUCUAUGGAGUGACUUACAUUGGGGCCAGGGACCAGAUGAAGAAGAGGCUAAAGGAGCGUUGUGCCAUUGAGGAUGAUGUAGAGCUGUUUACUGCUGCUUGUUAUGCUGCAAAAGUAUGAAAAUUUGAUUUAGUGGAAUUGUAUGUUAACAUUUCUAAAUCUAUUCUAUUAUUUAUUUUACUUUUACUUAUUAGUCAUUGCUUUAUAGACCACUCUCACCGCCUUAGAAGAGAUGUUUGAGGCUGCAAGAAGUAUUAUGGAUUGGCUAGGUGAUUGCGCAAAGGUAUGUCUAAUUUUCUGUUGAUUAUCAUUGAUUAAAUGAAUGAGUGAGUGCAUCCUUGUAUUGUCUCUAAAUUUUGUAGAGACAGAUGUUGCUUCCCAUGUUUUAGAUUCUCUUGGUGGGUUUUGGUUUGAUCCCCCCACUUUUGUAUUUCUUUUUUUCUAUUAAUUGUAUUAAGAAUGCUGCAUAUGAUUGGUAAAAGUUGUAGUGCUAAUUAAUUGUGAAAUAUAGCUAAUCUGAAAAAUUUCUAAUAUAUUUAUGUUUAUCAUGAUAUACUUUUCAUAGUUUAUCUAUCUAGUUUAUUUAAAUUCUGUAUGUGUAAUCUUAUUGUUUUUAAUAUAUGUCUCUUUUUGAUACAAUUUGUUCAAAAAUUGACAGUCUAGGGUUAUGGUAAGAUGUUAUCUUUAAUGAAUACAUGUGUGUGUGAAUAGUAACACAAGCCGACCUUCAAGACUUUUAGAGGUUUGUGGCAGACGACACUCAUUAUUCUCUUAAUAAGUAGCAUUUUUUUUCUAAAAUUGGAGAUUUUGUUUAUCGUUGUUGGUGUUGAAUUGUCACUAUUCUACAUUCUCUUCUAUGAUUAGGUGCUUAGUUAUCUUCUACAUAUAAGCCAAAUGACAUGCUAACAGUGACCUUGAGGAUCUAGUGUUAUUUGUGACAUUUAAUACAUAGUAAGUUUUAGGUUAAGGGGGAGUCUUAGAAUAACCACAUGUAGCUCAGGUGCAUUCAGAUUUCAUUGGAAUACGUUUUUGGGAAAUAAGACUCACUUAUUCAUAGCCUUGUAAAUUAUAUCUCAAAAAGUGUUACUCAAGCUAUUCCACUCCACCUUUCUGGAUUCAACACAGGAAAGUGGUCCACUAUAAUAGAUUAUGCAAAACAGCCAAAACUAAUCAUGGGUGAAAUGAAAUGGCUUGCUAGGUGCUAUCUUUAAAACAAUAUUACAUAAUUUCUCUAACUCUUACACUCCCCCUUAACCUAAGACUUACUAUGUAUAUAAUAAUAAUAAUAAAAACUAAAUAAAACAUGAUAAGUUAAAAAAUUGUAAAUAUAAAAAUUCUAUAGAUAUAUAUUAACUAAAGAGAAAUAAAUAUUACUAAUCAAUGCAUAUAUUGUUAUAUAAUAUAUCCUCAUGUAAAAAUCUAGAAAGAAUAUUUAUAUAUGUGUGCUAUGAAAGAGUUAUUUCCAUUUUUACUCUUCCUUUUUUUAUCUAAUGGUAAACACUAAGUUGCACAUUAGAACCAUUAUAGUAUAAGAAAAUGAAAGGCGAGAAGGAAGAUUAUUCUUUUUAAAGUUACUCAAACACUCUAAAAGAUUUACUUCUCAUCUUCGCUCUUCCUUUUUUAUCUAAUGAUAAAAGAAUGCGUUACUCUUCACAAACAUUAUACUAAAAAAAUGAAAGAAGUGAAUGAAGAUUAGUUUUUUUAAAGUUAAUCUUGGAGUAACUUAAUCCAUAUUCUCAUAUAUUUGUUUAAAGUUAUUAUCUGAUCUUUUUAUACUGGCAAAAGCUAUACAUGGAGAAUAGUCUUUGAACAAUUUGUCAGUAGCACCAAAAUCAAUAAUCCAUAUAUGUGGCUUUAGAAUCUCUUUGGGUACUAGUAGGAGCAUCAAAUCUAAUCUAAAUUAUUCCUUAAUCUUAACUACCUGAAUCUUCUAGAAUCCUUAUUUGAAAUUUAAACUUAAGUAAAAUUAAAGUUACAUGAACCUAAACUUUUAAUGCAGCACAUCCCAAUAGAUGUGUAGUUUUCAACAAUCACCAAGGCAUGUUGACAUCAUUUAGGUGAAACUUCUUUCAUAUCAAUUUUACAAGAGAUCUUUAAUAACUUCAGUAUUUGAUUGAAUGGAGAUGGAAUAAUCCGAGGAUGGUAUCAUAAUUUUAUAGGGAAAGUAUAAAUGGGGAUCAUUAAGGAACCAGUUCUGUUAUAUAAUCAGCCUGUUGACACCCCUAUGACUUCAGGGGUCAAGCUUUUGUGAACUUGGGACAUUUCCAACUGUAAAUUCAAAUGGUCAGCUAGAAUAUGUAUUCUCUAAGUGAUUGAGAUAUCUUAUGGCAAGUUAUAUGUGAAAAGUGUGGUGCGUAUAUUUUAUAUGCUCCAUAUUGCGUGGGACUUUUAGAAUGUAUUUGUUGUUAGGGUAACAGCAAAUCCUUAUAUUUUUUAUUCUGAGGAUAUAUAGUUGAGUUUUUGUUUUGUAUUAUAGGCACAGAUUUUACAACAUGCCCUUUUUUCUCUCCAAAAGUGCUACAGGAAUUGAACAUGUUAUUAAAGAAUUUUAUGUUAUUCUAACACUAUGUUCGCAUGCUUUUACCUGUUUACAUCUCAAUCAUUGUAAUGAUUUAAAUUUUGAACAUCGAAUAGGUGAUUGCUUCCACUAACCAAGCAGUCCGGUGGAUCACUCCCCUCGGUCUACCUGUAGUACAACCCUAUCGACAAUUAGGAAGGCAUCUUGUAAUUUCUCAACUGUUGGCCUAUAUUUUUUCUUCCUAUUUUUCAUUGUCUCUUUUUUCUUCCUCUCUACUAGUUAAAUAAAUUGGAAGUAGUUAACACAUUUUUUGUCACUAAUAUGGUAAUUGGAUAUGAUGCACAGAUCAAAACUUCCCUUCAGAUAUUGACAUUACAACGGGAGACUGACAAGGUAAGACUUGUCUUUGGAACUAAUUGUUCUUUUUUGAAUAUAUCACAGUUUCAUCUGUGAAUAAGAUCCUAUAUUUGUACGAUUCUUGACGCAUUACCAUAUCAACUUAGAGUAGUUCAUGUUUUGACAGGCUUAGUUGCACCAUCCGAUUUAUGUUCUUUUUGCUGUAUGUAUUACUUUGUUAUUAUGUUGGUAUUAUUUGUCAAAACCUGCAAUGCCCUUGGGACAAUCUAGGUGUCUUUCCCUAAGCAUACUAUUGUUAAGCUAAUAGAAUAUCCACACUAAUGUUACAGGUCAUGGUUAAAAGGCAGAGGACAGCUUUUCCCCCAAAUUUUGUUCACUCUCUUGAUGGUUCUCACAUGAUGAUGACUGCAGUUGCUUGUAAAAAAGCGGGCUUGAACUUUGCAGGUGCAUAUUGGUUUAUAUAAAAAACAUAAAUAGUCUUGGGUGAAUGCAAUUUGACUUUCCAUUAAGAAUUUAAAUUUGUAAUCUAAUGCUUAAUUGCAGGGGUUCAUGAUUCAUACUGGACGCAUGCAUGUGAUGUCGAUGAAAUGAACAGGAUACUCAGGGAAAAGUUUGUUGAACUCUACGAGGCUCCAAUAUUGGAAAAUGUAAAGUGUUUUUUAUCUUUUAAACUACAUAGGUUGUUUGAUUGGGUUGAAUUUGACUUCUAAUUUGGUUACUUAGAUAUUAGAUUGCCAAGGUGAAGCAUUUUCUUCAAAUCAAUCCAUUCUGACUCAAUCCUUUCCUUUUAUACUCUUAACUUUUGGUAAAUGCUUGUCUGUUGUCAUUCAAUCCACUCAAACUUUCUCUUUUUAUGGCUUCCUGUGUCAUUCAAACCAUUUGCUUAUUAAGUCUUUUUGAUGCAUUUUGUAAUUGUGUAAAGCAUUUAUGAUUUAUCUUGAAUCAUCUAACUUACCUUUCUACUUGACCAAAUCAAUCAACGUACCAGACUCAAUUUUUUGGUAGCCUUGCAUGUUGCUUUUGGAUUAUUAUUUGACAUAUUUUGUAUACAAGUAAACUCGUCAUUGGAUACCAAAUGACUUGGUUGUUUAAUAGUUCAUUCUUUACUUGUAAAUGCAGUUGUCCGAGAGCUUCCAAAAGAAUUUUCCGACAUUGAACUUUCCUCCCUUACCAGCACGAGGAGACUUCGAUCUUCGGGAGGUUUUGGAGUCUACAUAUUUUUUUAACUAGACUCUCAGAAACUCGGGUUACUUAUCUAGUACUACCUUUUCCUGUGGUACUGGGAGGCAAGUCUAACUGAUGAAAUUUGUAUAUAUCUCUACAUGCAUGGGAUUGUGAAAGCCUCAAAGACAACCGUCAUGGAGAAGAAGAAAGAAGUGCGUGGAGCAAGAAUUGGGUUGCCAAACUUAAAGAAUCUAGUACUUCUUUUAUACCCUUGUUUCAAACAGAGACAUAUUUCCUUCACGAGAUGUCCCAUAGUUGGAACUCAAGUUGUCUUCCCGAAUGCGUUACAUGUACAAGGAAUGAGGUGAUCUAAGUUGGGUUUUGGCAUGUACAAGAAAGGGGGCCUUCAAAUGUGGCUUUACAUAUGUUGACGAUAACUGUUAAAACAAGAAGCAUAUACAGCAGCCAAUCUGUUUUAGUUCGUGGUUGAUGUAACAGAUGAAGGAUUGGAGCACUGGUAAUAAUUUCUGGUGACUUUCAGAUCUGGAUGCUACAGUCUUCAUGGCUUUCUCUCUUACGCACAGCCAAAAUCAAGGUUGCUGGCAAGAUCCUUUGUUUUGCUGCUGUUAUACAAUUUGUAUUUUAUUUCAUUCUUGUAAAGUAAAUAAAUUAAUACCAAAAGAAAAAACACCUGCGGUAUCAAAUUGUACAUGGACGUGUGUUUUUUAAUUUAAUCACUAAUGAUUGAUAGGUCUCAAAAUAAUAUUUAAUGCAAGUUUUAAAUUUAUUUUUGUCAAGCAUUUCCAUUUGUUGAUAAAAUCUUAGUUUACAACAGUAUUAAAGAGUUUUGCAUUGCACCCUCAUAAAACAAUUGUUCUACGACAUGGCGAUACAUCCGAGGAAAGAGCUCUUGGUACGUACCCUAAUGUUCAUGUUUAAGAAAUGUUCAUAUAUUCAUGCCACAGAAUAUUAUUUAUAUAGUUAAUUACAAAAAUUGUUUAAAUUAUGUGUAUUAUUUACGUGUAAUAAUAUGAAACUCAUAACUGCUUUGUCAGUCCAAAACAUCCCCAAUGCUACUUGGUUAAUUUCAUAAGAAGAAAAAUUUGUCAAGACAUGAAUAAGUUGCACUUAAGUAACACAACAGGUAAUAAAAUGUACUUAAGCAUGUACUUUGACGCAUUUAAUUGGAAAUCGAAGUUUAUUAAUAUUUAUUUUCCUUUAUUAGGUUGAGACUGCCAUCUAUGACAAAUGGGUGGGGGAAGAUAACCUACACAUCCAAGUAACAGAGAACACGUUUAGGCAUGUGCAAUCGUUUGCAUGUAAAUCUAAUGUACUUUGAAAACAAGAUUUAUUCAAAGGAGUGAGAUUUAAUGUGCUCAUUGUUGUACAGGAUAAGUUGGACAGCAACUAACAAGAUGUUAUGUAACUGCAAAUCAUAUUCAACACAAACAAUGAAGUUUUCAAUUACUAAUUUUCAAAGUUUUAAGGAAUAUGGUAGUUUUAAAUAAAAUAAAAAGUGAGCAUUAUUUUAUUAAAGAUGUUGUUUAAACUAUAAAAUUAUAUGAACAUCGCUUAACAUAAUUCUAAAUGAACUGCAAUCUUCCAAAUUAAAAUUACCUUGACUCAAACUUUAGUUACAAAAUCAAUCAUAAAAUUAUGUUUAUGAUACAAAAUUCGAUUGGGCAACCAAUUUUCUCAAGCUUCUAUUCAAGAAGAAUAAUUACAUUUUGAAACUUCCAAUUUCAAAGUUAUAAAAUCAACUUUUUAUAAAUGUCGCUUCUAUCACUUAAUUAAAAAUUCUGCUGUAUUAAACAAAUUAAUCGACUUUCAAAUUUUCCCGCUGCAUCGCCUUCAACGAAAAUAAGAAUUGAUUGCAUGUACAACUUAAUUCACAUCCCCUGGUGAUAUAUACAUACUGUAAAUUGAAUAUAUAGUCGUUCAUACAGAUUAGAAACACUAUUAGCAAAUUCAGAUACAAAAAAAUGAUUCCAAGUAUCCACACAAGCUCGUAAAGAUUGCUGUACACUAGUUAGUCUGAAUCUAGCUCAGGAAUGUGUAGAUAAAGCAACAAUUGCCCUCCACCAGCCACUCCCAAGGCACCUCUCGAAUUAUCGGUAGCAACACAUGCAACAUUGCCAUCUGACAUCGAAGACUUGUAUUUUUUAAAAUUUGGAGAAAAAACAAAAGAUAUAUAACAUGAUAGAAGAACAAUAAGAGUGACGCCUCUCUAUGAUGGACAUCAAAGAAACCAGUCAACAUUUUGCUUAUGCAUCAUGUUGGAGAUCCCACACCGAUUAGAGUAUUUUACAGUAUAUAAGUAGAUGCAAACCUCACCUCAUAAGCCGGUUUUAUGAGAUUAAGAUAUGAUAUUAGAGCUCAAAUACAAUUAUUCGCAAAUAAAUGAGGGUGUAAUACAUGGGAUUUGGAAGCUUGAAGGAUCGAACAGAUAGUGAAGAACCUAAUAAUAGCUUCACUGGUCACCAGAGUUUCAAAGAAUCUUGUAUCCAUCUCACUCCUCUGAUCUGUAGACUAUAGCUCGUUCCCCUUUAUCAUUUGAGCUUCUUAAUAAGAGAUGGCCCCAUUCCUUAAAACCAGCAUUGACUGUAACACUCCUGUGUCUUUCACUUCUUCCGAUGAGCAAAAUAACCUUGAACCCUAGAUUCAGAACAUCUUCAUGUAGUUUUAAACUAGGUUGUAAGGAUGGAGCUAUCACUCUCGACGUGAAAGGGAUGUGUUGAAGAUUCUAUAUCGACUAGAAAUUAGAGCAUUUCAUAGUAUAUGGGUGCAAAUCUCACCCUAUAAAGCCGGUUUGUCCUUUGCCUAUGUCCAUGGUUAGACAACAAAUGGACAUAGGCAAAGGAUAAAUCAGCUUUAUGAAAAGAGGUUUGCACCCACUUAUAUACUAUGAAAUACUCUAAUAUUUAAUCGAUGUGAGAUUUUCAACACACCCCCUCACGUCGAGGGUGAUAGCUCCAUCCUUACAACCCAGUUUAAAACUAUAUGAAGAUGUUUUGAAUCUGGGGUUCAAGGUUAUUUUGCUCAUUGGAAGAAGUGAAAGACACAGGAGUGUUACAGUCGAUGCUGGUUUUAAGGAAUGGGACCAUCUCAUAUUAAGAAGCUCAGAUGAUCAAGGGGAACGAGCUGUAGUCUACAAAUCGAGAAGAGGAGUGAGAUGGAUACAGGAUACUGUCUCAAGUAUGAAAACCUAAAGAACGACAGCACAUUGUACAUAAGUAUAAUUAUUCCCAUUAUUAAAGCCAGCCAGCCAGCAACCAGGAGUGACCUAGUACGAGCAGAGUAGAAACGUAUCUGUAUUCUUAAAUACAUCCCCAAUUAAACUUAAUUCAUGUAGGCAUUCUAACAUUUUCAAAUAAACAUUACACGACCAAUUUAUUACCUCCAAUAGUUUGCUGUUUAGUUACAUUACUGUCAGCGUGAGGUCAAAUAUUCAUCAAAAUCAAGGGACUCGGUUUCUUCCUUGCAAUGAAAGAUACCAAAAGUCUGCUGCCCUUUUCAAAUUCAACCAAAGAUGUAAAACACACUAUUCAAAACUACACCUUUCUAAUUGAUGAAGAUGAGGAAUUUAUUUGAAUUUUGGGUUGGAUUGGAAAGGAAAAUAUGUAUAUACGUUUGGUAGGCAUGCGGGAUAAAAUGUGACCCUGCCUUUUGGGAUAAAAAUGUGAUAGGAAACACAGUACAUAGUAUGUGUUUGAGGAAAAACUCAAUGCAGGGAAACAGUCAGGACACAUCUUAUUUUGCCUUGCUGAGGAAGUUCUUAGCAGAACCUUCUCUAAUCUGGUUCGACAAAAUUUGCUAAUUCCCAACGAUUGGGCAUAAAGGUAUAUAUUUCCCAACUCAUACAUUUGAAGUAAUGGUUUUCCAUAGGGGUAGGAGAUGGAACACGUUGCAUUGCAGCUAGUGAGGUUAUUCCAACUUUAUAAAGAAAUUGCCAGACAGGAAGUUAAUAACUCCAAAUCCAUGUUCUAUGCAAUGAGUUGGUCUGUUAUUUACAAGAAAAGGACUAUAGUUACUAUUGAAUUCUCUGAAGGGUCACUUCCUUUACAUAUGUUGGUGAAUAAGGAAAAAACUGCCACAGUAGCUUGGCAGCAGUUAUGCUUGUCUAUAAAGGAAGGGGGUUUGGGGGAUAAAUCCUUACCUAAAUUGAAUCAAGCUGCAAUUCUUACGCUAAGUUGAGGUUUACUCAAAUCUGAUCUUGAAUGGACCAGGAUUCUUGAACUAAAGUUAUGCAAGGCAACAAAUUUUGUAGUGCUUACAUACAGUCAUUAUGAUGGUCUGGAAUUAAGUGAUACCUCUAGACAACUGUGCUUGGAAAUUGCGAGAAAAAUCAAUUUUUGGUUUGACAACUUAGAAGUCCCCGCUCAAGUCUGACGUAAACUGAAGGCAACUGUUGGAAGUUUUAUUACAGAUGGCAGAUGAAGUAUUCCAUAUGAUUUGAGUUCUAGAAUUUAAAAACAGAUCGAUCAAUAAACCCGUCAUAAAAGUCCACUGGACCUAUCUCCUCUAAAUAGAAACGUCAUGAACAAACUAACGACUUUAGAGAAAACAAAUUUAAAAAGUUGGUGUUUUUUCUAUAUAAAAAAAACUCAGGUUUAGUAUCGAGUUUAAGAAAAAGUGUUCUUACUAAUAGUGAACAAAAAAGCUUAAAUAACCCAAUCAAACUUAACAAAUCAGUAGUGCUUCUGUAGCAGUUGUCAGGUAAGUGAUCAAAGCAAAUGCGUGAAAGAGGAACAGUUGAACAUACCUUGGAACUGAUGCAGAGUAUAAAGCUUGGAUCCUUUAGACAACUCCCACAUAUACACCACUCCUUCAGUUGUUCCGAUGAUUCCAUAACCACUGGAAACACCAAUACCGCAAGUCCUGCAUAGAGUUAAUACACUGGAAGCUGUAAAUUAAAUGAUAAAUCUUAAUUAUAGAAUAAGCAAUAACUUCGCAGCUAAGAGUAUUAUACUGAGAUAUCAUCAGCCGUUCUUUAGAUGCAAUUUCAUAUAUCUAUCCAUAUCACUAAAAAAUUAUUUAUAACUAAUGGCUUUUCACAAUCUUCAUAAUUAAUCCGAGAUUUGAAUGGAAGUGUUUAAAAUAGUAAAAAUUUUCAACGGAAUAAAGUACAAGACAAAUUACAUUCAAAUUCAGAAAAAACUUUAUAGCACCUUAGAUUCAAGGGACUUCCAAAAUUUAUGCUAUUUUUCAUCAUAAGUGCAAGCCUCCAACUUCUAGCUGUAUGUAUAUCAAAACUACUUGAAGUUGAAGUAGGAUUGUGGCAACAAUCCUGAUCAGAGUAAGUCGAGACAAAAAGCCACAUAGCAACAUUUUCCUCUAAUGGUGAAGGCCAAGAGGUCUCUCUUUGCUGUGAGUACCACGAAUUGGUUGCUUUUAAAAGUUUAUCAGCCUGCUCCUCCAUGCUAGCAUAGCUGAAUCCUGAGCCUUUUGUUUGCCACUGGAACAAGCUUAUUGGAAAGAACUCAUUUAUUGGACUUUUUAUAGCAGAGAAUCUUGCAACACAGUUACACUUUGCAAUGUCCCUGGAAAAAAUGUUGACAAUAGUGGAUGAGAUAUUAUCAUAUUACUAUAACUGUAACCCCAGAUUAAAUGAUACUUAAACUUUUCGAAAGUGAUUAUUUCUCCCUUCUCUCUCCCAUUUCUUAAAACUGCUGGGUUAGGUCAUAGGUCAUUUCAAUAGUAAUAGGAAUAGAAUACGAAAUAAUGGAUGAAAAAAUGGCAGAAUAGUCAGCAGUAACAUUUUCUAAAUUUUGAAGCAGAUAAAACUAAGACUGGAAACCUAAUCUUGAAGAUUUGCAUAGAAGAGGGGGUCAUUAUGGAAAGUAGACAGACACAAAAUUCAUGCUCCGAACAACUUGUGACUCAAAAAAGAAAAUAAGAUCCAAUAAAAACAUUAACUAAUGCCCUAAAUGUUAAUGACUACAAAAUGGACAAAAAGUGCAAGUGAAUUCAUACAGCAAAUAUGAUAAAUUGAUAACAUGUAGUAAAAAUGCAAAAGUCAACAUGAGUAACCCCCAAAUUCAUUCCUGAACAAUUUGGCCUAGACCUGUUAGGUCUAGAGAAUGUUUAAAUGUCAACAUUGUCCCAAAAAAACACAACAGUCCUUGAGAAGAACUUGUGUAUUAGGUGCUUCAGAACUAAUAUGAGCAACAUCUGUGGUUUAAAGCACAUUGAGUGUUACGAACACAAUGUGAAACCCUUUCAAGGUGAAUGAGAUGGCAUACCAUAAACUAAAUUCCCCAUAGCUAUUAUGACCAACAACCAAAUGAGUAGACUUCGGAACCUUCUUCAACUCCACAAUGCCAGGGGAUGCAGAUCCAUCAUCAGUUGGAAUAAUGAAGUGCUCUGUUUUUUCACUGCCAAAAUAUGAACGAAAGAGUAAACAACAAGCUAAGUUGCAUGCACAAUUGCAAGAUAACCAAAUGUUAUAUAUUUAAUUAAGCUAGCUAUAAAAUCAACAAUUUUAAUAGGUAUUGACAAUACAGACGUCAUUGAUCAACAAGAAUAAAUUCUAUAAUUACAAGUUACAACUUACAAGUGUGUAACUCAUCAAUAAUUGUAGAUCUCUUCUAGAAAAGAGGUCGGUAAAACUAAUGGCAGGUCUUAGAUUCUGAUAAAAUUAGAGCUUUAAUAAAAACUUGGAAACAACCAAGACAAAUCUGUCAUGACAUCUCAAAAACACAGUUUUCCAAAUAUUCUCAUGCAAUCUCAGAGGAAAAACAAAGGGAAUUCAUAUCCAUGCUGUCAGCUACGAAAGCAAAAAUGCAAUAAAUCAGCAACUUAAUUAAAAUAUUCCUACUCUGGAAGGGACAUAAAUGGCUUUAGGGAAUGCAAAGUGUAAGAAGAUUCACUAAAAUCACCUCCAUUUUGAAUUCAUGACCCACACCUCCAGUUUCCCACUUUCUCCAACAGAAACAAGUCGGUUAGGUUCACAAACCAAUAUACAAUGUACAUUGUCAGCCGUUUCCAAUGUUGUUACAACUGAUACAUAACCAUGUUCUACUUGGACAAUCUUCAAAGCAUUCUUCUCAUAGAAAACUGAUGUACAUGUUGAGCAAGAACAAUCAAUUUUUCCUUCCCUGGGAUGAAACGCUAUUUAGUUAUUCCACUUAAACGGAAAUUACAUAUCAAUUGAAGCAUGCAGACACAGUUAACCUGCAAUUUGGGGCCUUUAUGCUGCCUAUUAAGACAAUAUACUGUCCACCAGGAGUCAACUGCACCCCAGAUCUUUCCACCAUAGUCUAGCAUAAAAUAUGAUAGAUUUUGUCACUUACUAUGUAAUAGUGUAUAACUAGAUUACAUUCUGUUAUGACAGCUGUACUUUUAACAAAUUUUGAUAGUGACCAUUUAUCUAACCAAACAGUUGGAAUAAAAAAAGGAAAAAGGGGUUGAGUUGAGAAUGAACCAAGCAAAAAAUAACUUACUUCUUUUAUGAAGUUAUGUUUUGGGUCGGGUAACAGUAUUGAGCUGUGAGCCAUGACAGAAGGGUAUCCUAGAGUUGGUUCAGUAAUGGCUACCUUGUAAGUAAACAAGGUCCUGUACUGAUCUGUCAGAUGGCCACAUAAGACACAAAUAUGGACUUCAUCCUCUUUUGUGCUUAAAAAUAAUGAUGAAACUGGCAUUGGGUGCAAGUAACAUCCCACAAACUUAACACUGCUUCCCAGAUUACUCUUGAGUUCCUCGUUUUGCAGGGGCAUUGGUUCUGAAAUUAAUUGAGCCUCUUUGGUACCGAAACACUUAUUUUCUUCAGCAAACUGGGUUGGAUUCUGAGAUGGUGCUAGGCUUUGUUCCACUAUGUUGCUAUGUUCAAUCAGAACAUCCCUACAAGUUUGAGGAGUUUGAACACACAAACCUGCAGCAUCAUCUGGUUCACAUGGUUUAUCAUUUGAAUUGCUUAUUAGAAUAAUUUCUGAGGAAUGUAAAGUGUCCUUGGUAGUAUACAUUUGAGUAGUAACAAGUUUAAACUUGUCCCCAGAGAAUGCAUUGCUAACACCUGCAUCGUGUUAUAAAAUUUGUAAGAAAUGGUAAUGACUGAAUCAAACUGAACAAUUCAAGUAAGCAACAGUUUCAAUUCAAUUAAGCUUAAUUCUUCACUCGAGUCCUUGCCCCAAAAUAAGCCAAUAUUUUGCUGCAACCAUGACCAGUGAUGCUGGAUCAUGUGAUUGGGUUCUCAAGAUCAGUGUACCAUGGGGUAUGGAUACCAUUAUCAAUACAGGGAUUAGGGUACAAGAUUCCUAAAUUAGGGGGUACAAAAAAUUUCUAAAUCUAAGGUGUGCAGGAGCAUAGAUUAUAUAAAAUAUUAAAAAAAAUAUAUUAAAAUUAAAUAUAAAUACAAUUUUCCUAGUGUUCACGCAGUGAGCAAAAAAUAUUUAAAAGCACAAGUUCUGACGAGAAUGAAACGGCAAUUUGUUUCAUUUACUAACAAACUUUUCUGCAUGGACCAAUUAUGCUUGGUCAUGAUUGAGUGUUGGGUGGCCAUGCCAUGUGUACCCAUUAAGUAGAGGAACCAAUUUUUGCAUUCAGUAUGGGUACAAUACAACUACUUAGGAGGACAGUGCAUCAUAGCUUGACAUAAAUCUCAGUUCAAAAUAGACUGAAGAAUUAUAUUGCAAUAUGCCAUUUUAUAAUUUGUUUUGUCAAUGUCAAAUAUCAUAAACACAUUACCUCCAGUAAAAUCCUGGGCAGUUGGGAAGUCCUUUUGCGCAGGACUGAGACUAACAUGUGCUGGAUUUUCUUUCACACCUGAGUAGUCAUCAUCUCUUCUUUCAGAAUUAACCUGAUCCUUAGGAGACAUGUCAUCUAGAACAGAUUCAGGAAUACAUACAUCAAAAUUCCGAGGACUGUCUUCAAAGUCAAUCCCUGAAGCAUGAGUUUUGGAUGUUAUGUUUGGCAUGUCAUGACCAAGAAGCUGCUGAGAGCCCAUUUCUAUGUUGAAACUUGAUCUACCAGCUUCAGCGAGAUCAGAAGAUAACUUUUCCUGAUUGGUUUUAUAAUCAUCACAUUCACUAUAUUCAAAACUGUCAGGAACAAUACACUUCAUAUGUUCAGAAUUAAGAGUGUUUGAAUGUGGGUCAGUAUGCCCAUGUAUCGUCUCUCGUUCCCCAUGUGCAGCCUCUAUCAUUAUUACAUCUGCCAUAUAAAAUUUUUCUAAUAAUGCAUAAGGAUACAUAAACAAACAAACAUGAAAAUAAAAAUGUAGAUUGAAAAGACAACAUACUAUAUUCAAAACUGUCAGGAACAAUACACUUCAUAUGUUCAGAAUUAAGAGUGUUUGAAUGUGGGUCUGUAUGCCCAUGUAUCGUCUCUCCUUGUUCCCCGUGUGCAGCCUCUAUCAUUAUUACAUCUGCCAUAUAAAUUUUUUCUAAUAAUGCAUUAGGAUACAUAAAUAAACAAACAUGAAAAUAAAAAGGUAGAUUGAAAUGACAACAUACUAUAUCAAAUGUUUUGACCCACAGACAGUGAUAACAAAUUCUAAGAAACAAUGAUCAAGAUAAGGUAAUAUUUACCAGAAGAGGCUACAUCCAAACUACAUCCAACUUUAUUAUGUUCGUCCUCAGAAUUCACCUGAGAAGGUGGCAUAUCUGCAGGACUAAUGAUAAGCUCCUUAUCUGUUGAAACAGACCUCAGUAGAGGAACUGCUUGAGGAAGCAGAAGUGACAUCAUUGAGUUUGCUACAUCAAGGCCAGCGGAACCAAAGUCACCUUUUUCAGAGCAUGGAUUUGAAUUAGAUUUUACCAAUUUUUCAUGCUCCGCAUUUGACAAUUUUUCAGAGGUGAUCUCACAAGUUGUCUCAAUGUAAGCAUUUUCAUCCAGUUCACUUGGCGCAGAAUCAGGAGUAUAUUCUGCAGUGUACUAUAGUAAGUGAUCCAGUUCAACAGGAAAAUAGAAAAGAUAAAAGAGAAAUUAUACUAAAGGAGAGAGAGCUUUGUAGAAUGAGGAAAUACUAAUAAGUUAAUAAAUAGAAAAAAAGCUUCCAAGAGUUGUUUACAAAAUGUGUUCUUGUUGAGAACUACAUUAGAAAAGCCAAAGACCAACCGUGAAUCCAUAAAUAUUGUAUUAACAUUAGUGGAAUAAAUAAAUGUCAUAUAUUUGACAAUAUCACAAGACAUUUCUCACUUUCAUUCUGUAAAGAACACACUGCACUAUUCAAUAAUGCUAAAGUUAUUAAGGAGUAUCACCCAAUCUUUGAUAGCCCAAAUUGCAAAGGUUUAAAAUUAGAUAUAAACCCCCAACAUUAUAGAAAAAGUCAAACAACUGAGUAUUUUUAGCCAAAAAGUCUUCCAACCCAUCAACUGAAAUGAGCAUGAGGAUACGAGAUUGCAGGUAUUGAAAAACAUUAAAAGUGAAAAGUAAUAGCUUUUAUAGUACAAACAAAAUACAAGUACCUUGCACAAAAUCUAGGGUAUCAGGAGCACAAAGAUCAAUGGCAAUACAACCUACAGUUUCUUUAGAAUGUGACUGCAUUAGUUUAUUGUCUUCUGAUGUCACCAACAAAUUAGACAUCUUCAACUCGACAUUCUGCGACCUAUGAAGCUGCAAGAAGUUAAGAUAUUUUCUUCGAUAACAAAAUAGACCAUUAAAUUUGAUUUAUACCCAAUCUUUGGGAAAUUUUAAACUGAAUCUGAAAUAUCUCAAGCAGGAGAAAAAAUAAAUCAGUUGUAAGAAUUAAAAUAGAUCAAGAUGAAGAAAAUUAAGGAAAGAACAUGUUUUCAAUGAUAACCAUUGAAUAGAUUGCGUUUUAUGAAGCAACAUGUUUCCAUUGAAUAUCGUUCACUAGAAUAUAACAAGUUUAGAGGUAUGCUUACUGAAGGUUCUUCUGUGGACAAGUUUUCAGUUAGUUCUUUAGCACUGCAACUUUGAGAAAAGAGAAAACCAGCAGAUCCUUUAGAAGGCACAGCUCCCACUUCUUUAUUAUCAGAUAUUUCAAGAGGAUUCAGCAGAAAGUCAUUUUUGGAUGAAAUGCAAUUUUUGCUUUUACAAACGGAAGAUGCCCUUUGCAAUGGAGCUGGCACACCUAUCUGAUUCUGGACUUCAUGUACUUCUGAACCAUAAUGAGUUGUAGAACUCCCUUGACCAUGAUUCUUCUCAUUCUUUACAUUUGAGGGUCCACUGCAUACGAAUUGUGGAGACUGUGGUCUAGCUCGUACAUUUAAUUUUUUGUUUUUAAGUUCACAUCUACUUCUCUUCCCUGUAACAUGUUGUUUUCCAAGGUAACGUAGUAAAUCAGGAUACGUGCCUACAUUUGGGCAGCAAUUAUCAUCAUGAUCUGUUCUAGCAACCCCCUCACAGAUGUUUGGGGAUACCAAGCUCCGUUCUGCUAUUCCAUUUACAUUUGUUACCAGUUCACGGAGUAACCUCUGGAUAGACUGAUUUUUGAACCCAAAAAACUGCAUGUGAUUAAAAUAGAAUAAAAUAUAUUAAGCACAACACACAACUAUAUGAAAAACAAUAUAGUAUAAACAAAAGAUGCGUAAUUGUGAAAUAACAAAAAGGAACUAAAAGAAAAAAAGGAAAAUUAUGAGAUUGCUCAACCCAGACUGGUUGCAAAUCCUGGACACAAAUUCUACACUUUUAGAUCUCUUUAUAAAGAAGAAAGUUUAUUUAAGAGGAAAAGGAAGGGUUUCAAGUAGAGUAGAAUAACAUAAUCUCACAAACAAAAGAAAGGAAACAGCAAAAAUAAGCAAAGUCGUUACUAUGAUAAAGCUUUCCAAUUCCACUGCAUAUAUCCCAGAACUAGAAGACUUGUUAAAGAAACCAAAGAGAAGUAAGAAAAACUUUCUCACCAUGUUUUGAAGCACAAAUUACAAAAGCUUGAAGAGAUUACCAAUAUAAAGACAUAAUUUCAACAUAAGAUAAGGGGUCUUUCUUGCAUAAUUGCACAUUGAAUUGACAAGCUUCUCAUGGGAAUUGGAGUAAGCUGGCUAAAUUGGUCAUCCAAGUUGUUUUUUUGGUUAUUGAUUUUACGUAUUUGGUACAGUGGGAACCUCAUUCAGUUUGAUAGUCAAUAUAUGCCAUAUAAGAGGAUUAAAAAUAAGGUUCGUAAUGAGAAGUUGAAUGGGUAAUUUAUUUCAUUAUACCAUGAAUUCUAACAUGUCUGAGUUUUGUAUUCUAAAGCAUUUUAACAUUGAUAUCAAACCUAGUGUUGGCCCAAAAAUCAUUCCUGUUUUGUGAGAGGACCUUUCUUCGGAUGUUUUUUUCUAUUUUCCUUGGAAUCUAUUCAUCCAUCUAUGCUGAAAUCAAGGGUACUGUUUAUGCAGUUGAUUUUGCUUUUGAUAGAGGCUGACAGAGUUUGUGGUUGGUGAAUGAUUCUAUGCUGGUUGUUCAAUCAAGCAUUUAAAAUGAUCAGAUUAUUCCUUCAUAUUUGCAAUCCAAGUGACAUAAUAUGAAGUUUAAAUAUAGUAAUAAGAGGAUGCAUGUUUCUCAUAUUUAUAGGGAAGGGAUUAAUUGUGGCUAGCUUGCUUGUUAUGGAAUUAGAGAACGCUGUACUCAGUGGUGGGAUAAUAUUCCAGAUUCUCUUAAGAUUAGAUUUCUUUAGGAGUAGGUGUUCUUUACCUUGUAUGUUAAUUCUGUAGAGGGUUUUAGUCUAACCCCCCUACUCGUUAGUAUUUAUUUUCCUUAUUUUUAAGCUAUUUGGGUAUGUUACAAAUGAUAGACAUAACAUAUAGGGUACCAACUUAGUUGGGAUCAUAUGACAUUGCGAUGCUUUUGCAUAUGCUACUCUUUUUUUUAAAUACACUACCAACCAGAAUUUGAGUUCAGAAUCUAAUAGUAGCUGUUUUGAUAGGAUACUGUAUACAAGAAAUUUGAUAUUAGUAAUUUAUAGCCAAUGUCAUGUCACAAUUUUGACACCAGAACCUAAGCAAACAGAGAUUGUUAUGCAGCAAAUGCACAAGUAGUCAAGCAAUCCACCUCCUGCAUUCUAUAGUCACUUGGCAAGUUGGCACACAUCAAAGACUGUUGUUUCCAUAAAAACAUAGGACACAAAGGGGAUAAGAAUAACCAAAGCAGAACUUUGUGGUUAGUCAGAAAGCAAUUUUAAUUACAGUUGUCCAUACCAAUCAUUUCCACUCAAAUGUGAACUUGUCAAGUGAAGAAAUGUUAUUCAUCCAAAUUCCUAAAGCAAAAAUAAUAAAAUAGGAAAAAGGACAGGUGAAGAAGCAGAACCAGAAAAUAAUGGUAGAAGUAUAUGCUUAUGUUGUUAGGAGCAGGUCAUGAUUGGUUUUAUCUCUAUCACACGCCCCUUUGGCUUAAAAUUACGCAAAAUUUCAACUUUGGUUAAAAGGAUAUGAGAGGCAAGAAUAAAACUCCUAACCACUAGAGUCUUAUAUAUAGUUCAUACAAACCUUACGAGAAGUAACCCAAGAACCUGACAUCAAGAUUAGAGAAUCAAAGGUCAUAUGAACUCCUUAUAAGAAUCCCAUUAUUCCACUGUGGAACUCAAAUUCCAUACUUGGCCUUUGGACCCUAAAUCCCAUCAUCUUUAACAUCUCUUGCCACACAGGUUGCAUGUGUUUUAUGCCUCUAGAAGCCCAAGGAGAAGAACACUGUAAUGAUGGAAUCACAAUUCACAGAAGUAUUUGCGACUAAGAGGCAUGGUGGAAGUCUCUAAUACCAUAUCAAUGACCAAGUCUUCAAAAAGUUUAAGCUGUAAGGUGGUGAUUUAUAAAUGGUUUUAUCUCUUAACAGAAGUUUACUUAUUGAGACAAAAUGUAAAGCUUGCUUCUCUAAAACCAAAUUCAUCAAAAAGAGAACUGUUCCAGUUUGGUCUUCAUUGCAUGUAUAGAACCUAUGAUUGGUUAGAUAGCAUAAAUGAUCGACAGAGAAUGCAGCGGAAAACAACAGGUACUGGUUACUCACUCUAACCUUUUUUUAUGAAAAAAUUAUCAUAGUCCACAAAACAUAUAGUUUUAUAUUUUAACAUUUAAAUCCUGAACUUAAUAUUCUUGUCUCUUUUGACCUAGCUGUUUCUUACUUUCUUUUAGAAAUCAACAAUGAUAUCGUUGUUGAUGAAAAAUAUAUUUCGUCCAUGAUUGACUAGGGUAAGAUAUAAGAAACAGAAAGCAUAGUAUGGAUAAAAUAUCAUAUUAUAGCAAAUAAAAAAACACUGUAACAUACAAUAAAUAAGAGAAAAAGGGAAAUUUCCGUAAAAACGAGAAAAAUCUGAAAUUUUACAAAAUGAUUUUGUCAACAUCACAGAUUUCUACCUCCAAGCCAUCCAUCUUAGAUGAAAGUCUCUUCCCAUGCCAAAUCUUGAUGCGGGGGCAACUUUUCUUCUGAAAUUCCUCCCAUGGUUGGUCAGGAGUUUUCCCAGAAGACGAACUCCCAUCAUCACAAGAAAUCUGCAUUUACAAUCCACAACUGAAUCUGUUUAGUAAAACCCAAAGCAAAAUGUGAACCUCUACCAUAUUAAAUCAAUCUCUAAAACAUAAAUAAAGCACAUUGAAACCCAAAUACGAACCAAAAAUUUAGGGCCAUUGACACCUUCACAAAUUUCCAUCUUAUAAGUGGUCCCAUUAUAAGCUCUAACAGCCUGAUAACCAACAGGAUAUGGAUACCGAUCUUUUCCCUGCAAUGUAGCGAAUGCCAAUGUGUUACAUCAGUCAGCAGAGAAAAACAAAUCAAAACAAAGUGUUACUCCCACACAAAUCCUGAUUUCCCAUGCAAUGACAUUUCAAAACAAAAACAAAAAAUCCAUAAUUGUUAAACACUCAAUUAAAUUGAAAUAAGAGCAAAAAAACAAUUUUAUUUCCAAACCGCACAGUUGUUAAAUUGAAUACGAGUAAUCUAUAAAUUUCAUGAAAAAUAGCUAUUAUGAGAGAAAAAAAAAGAAAAAGGUUGAUGGAAAGUAAAAGAAAUGGAAGAAUGCGAAUGGAUAGUAUGAAAUUGAGGGGAAGGGAAGAGGAGGGAAUGGAAUCAAACCCUAGUGGUGGUCCAGUACUUCUUGUCCCAGGCUCCUUUGUAGAGAGAACCGAUGGAGAUUAUUUCGAGGCCAUCGCCGCCGUCCUCCGCCUCUGCUCCCGCUGCUUUCUCAGCCCUUCGAGUCUUCGCCAUUCAAUGAGAAGCAACCAACGUCUGAGAAAGACAAAGUGUAACAAAAAUAUUUAUAUAUGGCGGGAAAGUCCUUUGGCUUUCAGCAGUUUCACAAACGUUUCCCUCCAUUUUUUCUAUUUUUUAUUUAUUUAACAGAUUAAAAUUAACAACUAAUAUUAUGUAAAAUGAAUAAUUUAAUAUAAAAAUGAAUUAAGUUAAAUUACGUCAACUUUAACUGUGUGACUUACAUAAAUUUAGGACAAAGCAACUCCCAAAUACAUAGACUAAAUUUUAAAAUCAAUAAUUAUAAUUUAAAAAUAUUUUUUAUUUAAUUUAGACUUAAUUAAAUUUUGAGUCAUUCAUAAAUUGGGUAUUUUUAAUUUUGAAUCCCUAUUAACUUUUUUAUUUUAAGUACUUAAAUUUUUUAUAUUUUCUAAUUUAGUAUCUAUAGUUUAAUUUUUUUUUUAACUAGGUCACAUGAUUCAUCUUGCUUACUUCUCUUCCAAUAUUAAAAAAUACGAGAUUUUGUAAUUAAUAUAAAAUAAAGAGGGACUUGUUUUCAUUAAAAACAGGUUUAAUAAUAAGGAUGUCAUGAUCUUCAAUGGCUUUCAUAUCAUCUCUUACAAUUAAGAGAUUGUCGUCAUCACCAUUGGUGUAUGUGACAAAUGAUGGUAAUAAUAUUUUUUAUCAACACAUUUUCAAUAAAAUAAUAAAAAUCACCUAUUAUUUUAUAUUAAUGAUAAUAUUGUUUUAUAUUAACCUCAAAAUCUUACAUUAUUUAUUUAAAUUUAAGUCAAAUGAUUUGGAUGUAAUUUAUUUAUUUACAAUAUAUUUUAUGUUACACUUGUAAAAACCAUAUUUAUAUUUACAUGAAAUAAUUUCAGCCAUGAGGAUGUUGAUCCUCUUGGUUGACCCUAUCAUGUUGUUAGACAUUCUUGACAUUAACGAUAUUUUAUUUUUUCAAGGUUUUUUCAUAGGAAUAGUGUGACUAACCUAAUUCAAACGAAUGUAUCAAUGGAUAAGUCCAUGCCAUUAUGAGCCACAAUUUGUGUAAGAAAAAUAUCAUAUGGGAUAUGCAUGUUGUAGUCCUCCAUUUAUUCAUGUGUUGCAUGAUACAAUGAGACCAAUUAAUCAAAAUAUUAUUUUUCAUAGUCCAUAACAUAAAAAAAAAGUCUUCACACAAUAAUUGAGCAAAAUUGUUAGCCUGCAAACUCAAAAUAUGCUCGAACACGUAUUGCAAAAGUUUGUCUUUAGUAUUCAAACUACAUAUAUUCUUGACAUUUCAAUCCUACAUCUUUGGUCAUGAAACUGAAUGUCACAUCAUACCAUAUUACGAAAUGGACUUUAAGCCUAACUCAACCUAUAAAAUCGGCUCAUGAAGUUGAAGUUUGCACUCACUUAUAUAAAAUGAAUUGUCUUCAUUUCUAGUCGAUAUAUGAUCUAUAACAAAGACUUCUUGAAUAUGUUAAGAAUAUCACUAGCUAUUUUUAAUUUCUUAAUUUAAAGAUUCAUAAAUAUUUGUUCAAUGAUAAAUAUUAGUUGAAAGAGAAUGUUUAAACAUUUAAUACCCAAAAUGAAAGCUUGUAAUUUUGCAUAUUAGAAUUUGUUUAAGGAAUUCAAACAAAACAAUAUGUAAUGAAUUAAAUACAAUAUCUAUCCUUAUACUAACCUAAGCAUCUACCUAUAUAUAUAAGUUGCAGAUAGAGUAUACUAUUUUAUGCAUUUUUUUUUGAAGGAACUGUCUACUAAUUUAUUUCCUGUAGAGAGCCUCCGAUGCAUUAUAUUUUUUUGCAUUAUGCAUCAUAGACACUCAAAACUAAAAUUAAAUUAAGUUAUAAGUUUUAUUUUAUUAAUAAAAAAUUUAAAUUUUGAAUAAUUAAUUCUAAGUUGUGUUAGAAUCAUUUUCCAAGAAGAAAAAUUAUCGACCGUCUACAACAGGAAUAAGAGAAAUUAAUAUUUAAUUCUUUUAUGCUGCAAAAUUAGUGUAUGUCUUAAUAAAUGUUUAAUUAAAAGUCAAUGGGUUCUAGUCUCAAUAAGUGUCCAAUGUGUCCAAUAACUACGAAAAUCAUAUUUUAAUUUCAAUAACAAUGGAUGUCUUGAGAAAACAAUAAAUUUUUUUUGAGUAUAUUUUCCAAAAAAUAAUUUCUUUGAACAAACUUAAAAUUAAAUGAGAUAUAUUGAAAAUAUCAAAUUAAAGGAUUAAUAUAUAUUGUGGGUGGUAAAUAGAAAAAAACAACAAUGGCUCCAUCAAGCACCAAAGGAACACCUGAAUUGUGAGUAAAAUAAUUUGGAAAGUUGGACACGUCCAUAUUAUUCUGUUUUAAUCUGAUGUUUGUAUUGUAUAUGCUAAAAGGAGAGAAUACUAAAGUGAGUGAGAUAUAUAUGUUAAAAUAAAAUUACAUCAAAAAAGUAGAUAGUAAGUGAAACAGAUUUAUCAAACGAUUUGAAGUAAUCAUUUGAGAAUUAAGAAGAAACGAUUAAGAAUAAUAUUAGGAAUAACAUCGAGAAUAACAAUUGCAUUGACUAGUCGAGAUAAAUGAAUAAUCAAGACAUCAUUGUCAUCCGACCAACAAAAUAAUAAUUUCUACUCAUUUAAUCCCUAGGGAUUCAAUCCUUCAUUAAUAAGCAUUCUAACUUUAUCAUGAUCAUGUGACUCAUACAUAUAAUAGAAUUAUUAUGACACAAAUUAGUGUAAGAAGGUUACAUAUAAUAGAAUUAUUAUGACACAAAUUAGUGUAAGAAGGUUUCGUAUACAGUAAAUUCAGCAAAAUCCUACCCAAAAACCAGGAAAAAUAUGUAGUGAAAACAACAGGAAAAACCAGUUAACUUUUUAUAGUGAACUUUGUAAUCAUUACUUAUAGUUCUACUUGAAAUAUAUAAUUGGAAUCUAAAUAUAGAGUCAAUCUCUGUUCUUUCAUUAUUAUUAAAGAUUAACUUUAUUAGAUAGUCUCAUUAACGAGACUCAUUAGAUGGUUUGGUUUGAAAAUUAUAUGAUUUUAUGUUUUGAUGAUAACAAAAUUAAAUAAAAUAUCUAUUUAUUCUAAUAGUGGUUUGUGCAACUGUAAGGUGUAGCAGGUGAUUUAAGUGUCUAACAUGCUAUUAGACAAUCUAACCAUCUAAUAGAUUUUUCCUCCUUAAACGGUCUUAUAAAGACCUUACUGUUAGAUGGUCUUAUAAAGGCCUUACUGUUAGACCAUCUUAUGAAGACCUUACUGUUAGACGGACUUAUAAAGACCUUACAGUUAGACGGUCUUAUAAAGAUCUUACUAUUAGACGGUCCAUUAUUGUAUAUGAAAAUAUUACAAAUUUUUGAAUGUUACAACCAAGUUGUGACUUUCAGGUUGGAAAAAACAUUCUAAUCAGAUCCUCGUAGUACAUAGUUGUGAUACAAAGAAAUUGUUCAAAACCUUGAAAUUGUAAAUGAUGGUGAAAGUAAAACCCUUUCCAUAUUCAAUCAUCUAAUCACACUUGUAAAAAGACAUGUUUGAUUUAAGAUGUCCUUAAUUAUUGGGAGGUUUCUAGUAGGAAGCCCAUCAGUAGUGGUCGAAGCUUUUCCUUUCCUUUGGUUGACACUUCUUUGUCUUUUAGUACGGAACCAUAAUUUUAUAUAAUUGAAAACACCAGUAAAGGCACAUUUCAUGUUUUCAAUAACAAUAUUUUUAAUAAAGAUAGCAAAAAAUGAAUAAAAUAUUUAAUAAUAUAAAAUAAAAGAAUAUACAUUCAUGAUAAAGUGCUUGUCACAUGGUUUCAAAAGAUUACAUAGCCAUAAACUUAAAAAAUAGCAUGAUUUUUCACUUCCACUCAUAAGAUUUAAUAACUUGUUUAAACAAAUGUGAGGGCAAUGCCUAAAAGAUGUGGUGUAUGGGACUUGUUAAUUAGCAUUGCUACAUAAUUUACUCGUCUUGUAUAUUCAUGUUAACUAACAACUACACAUUCAUCACAUCAACCAUUGAGGCUUUUCUUUUUGAAUUGUGUAAUAAAGACGUAUCACCAAAUAAUGUAGAUUGAGUAAGACCUAGACUAUAUGAAUUCAACAACGAUGGUGAUGAAGGGGCUUGGUCAUCUAGAGCAUGAAAUGCAGGCUCCUCUAGGAUGUAUUCCAUAUCGUCAUUAAGGUCCAUGUUGAAACUUUUCCUAUGCAUAUCACAUUAGACUUAAUGACAUGUUCUUACUCUAUGGUCUUUGGCACAAUCAACACCCCACAAUUCCUCCAUCAAAUCGUAGUGUCUAAUGGGAUUAACCCUCCAUCAAAUAGUUGGACCACUAGUGUACCUGAAAGUUUUGUCACUUUCAAAGGCACAUAACAUUCCACUAUCACCUUUGCCUAAAAUUGGGAUGUUUAACUAGUAAUGGAAGGUCUAGUUGUGGUGUCAUUUUACCUUCUACCCACAAUACACAUGAAUCAAUUAAUUAGUUUAUUUGCUCAACCCAAACAAAAUUUGGAAAUAUAUGUAUAUGUAUAUCUCAUGUAAUAUAAAUGACUCAUGUUAUGAAGAUGUAUGCACAACAUAUUAUAUUUAUAAACUUUCAUUUUUAAUGGUCCAAUGAUUUGGUUUAAUUUUAAUUAAAACAUGAGAAUUGAUUAGAUGAUACAAUACAUGUGCAACAAAACAUGUUCAAAAUCCUAGUUUGCAUCUUCAUUUGUAGAUCUUCUAAUUCAUUGUUUUGAUUUGAAUAUCUUUUAUGGAUGAACACUAUUGCGAAAACAUGAAGAAUUGUAGAAAUUUGGAAGAGGUGAAAGUUAUGACGAUGAAUAUAAGUGAUGUUAGGCCAAUACUUAAUUUUUAGAGUGAAGUUGGGUCAACACUACUAGGAGGACUUUAGAAAGUUGUCUAGCAAGGAGACAACUCUAGAGCGAACUUUGAACAAGUAAAAGUGUCUCAAAUUGGACAACAUUUCAUUACUCAAAUCAAAGUUAAAAAAACAUGUACAAAAGACUCAUAUUUAUAAGAAAAAGUCUCUCAAAACCUCUCAAAUAAGGGUGUGACAAGUGCCACCACCUUAUUGGUGCAAAUCCUCUCUAUUGGGAGAUAGACAAGAGACAUGCCUUCAUUGGAGUAAAAUCUUAUCCAUUAAGGAGAGGACAUGUGAAGCCUCAUGCCUUCCUUGACUAAAUUUCUAUUUGCACCCCUUUUUUUUACUAUUUUACACUAUACUUUAUUUUCCAUUUACAUAUUUCUCUACUUUGGUCCAAAAUACAAAGCCCAAAACUUCUCAACUACUCUAUACCAUUUUUACAAGCCUAAGAAGAAGAAAAAUACUUUACAAUCUCUUCACUAAGGCUCAAUCUUCAUCUAUUUUCUUAGCUAAAAGUUUCGAGACUUGAUGGUUUUCAUCAAAACAUCUCACAUAACACAUUGGAAUUUCCUUAAUCACUAGUGAUAUAAGUUUUGAGGAUAGUGAAGAUUCUAGUUAACUUUCAUGAAGAAAUGUUUGAUGAAGAAAAUAUGUUUAAAGGUGUAUAAAAAUUGUAUAUCAUGCUCUUGGUUAGGAUAAAGUUGUUUAAGUAGCCUUUUGCAUUUUGAUUCAACCUCAUAUCUCAUAGCAAUGGUGAUGAAAUUAAGCACAAGGAUCUUUUAAAUGGAGUUUUAAAAAUCUGCUCAAGUUUUUCAAAACUGAUUUUAUUGCACUAUAUUUUAAUAUGUUGUUUGACAAAACAAUUAAUUCAUUUGUACUGCACCAAAACUGUUUUGAUUUUUUCAAAAUUUUGUUUUGUCUCCAAAAUUCGGUUUUGCUCACAUAUUCCGUUUUUAACUAAUCAAAGGUUGGUUAUGUUACUACCACCAAGUUUUUUUCAAAAUAUAAUUUGUUCUUUUAAGUUUUAAUCUGUUGUUUUAUAACAGUUUUAAAAUUGUUUUAGGAAAACUGUUUUGAUUUGGAUUCUAUAAAAGGAGAUCAAUAUCACAGUUCAAAUCAUCCCUUCCAAUUACAAAGUGCAUAAGUUUUCAAGUGAUUUUCAUUGAGGUUUUCAAAUGAGUUUAGUUUUUGAAAGUUUUUCUUAAAAACUUUUAAGAGUUCUUGUGUUGUUUUCUCUUGGCUUGGGAUUUGAAGGUUUGUCAAGUGCUGCAACAAUGAGGAUUUGGGUUUGAAUUCCUUAGUCUGCAAACAAUGUGUUUUCUUUCCUAAAUAUCUUUCUUUGUAAAAGUGUGUCUUGUAUAUACUUCUUAAUAGUGUUUCUAGAAGUAGAGUGUUGCGAAAAUAGUGUUUUCCAGCUUGUGUUCUUAAUUCUUGAAGGGUUUAAGAAUUUAGUUGUUUGUAAAGAUUGUUUUGCUUUUAGUGGAAUCCAUCUUGGUGUAAGGUGAGACUGGAUGUAACUCUUAUUGAGUGAACCAGUAUAAAUAUGUGUGUGUCAUUCUUCUUCCUUAACCACUGCCUCUAAAACUAAAAUCUGAAAAUUUGUGAUGAAAUAAAUCAGUUGUUUUAGAACUGAAUCUGUUGUUCUUAACUGUUGUAUUGGUCUGCAUCACAUUUUGUUUUCAAGAUUUUGAUAAGACUUUAAUCAAUGUUAAGAUUCAAGGUAUCCUUAAUCUUUGACAGGGUAAUACUCAUAAUAAAAACUCUUAUAAGCAAUCUUGUUCUAAAAGUUGUUUCAAGAUUUCAUCAUAUCAAAUUUGGUUUUAAAAGAUUUCUAAAAAGUAUUUGUUGGUUUUUAAAAUUCUGAUUCUUGAAUCUCUUUAACAGAACUGUUUUGAGUAAAACUAUUUGAACUGAGUAUUUUAAAGGUUUUGUUUUAAAAUCAGAAUUAAAGAUCUUAGUUUCACUUGUCUUGACAAGAUCUUGUUUUUAAAACGAAAUUAAAUCUUUGUUAAUUCAUUGUGUUCAAGGUUUAAUAUUGUUUUUAAUAUUCCCUCUAUGUAAAGACCAGAACUGUUUUAGGUAGGAGUCUUAAGUCAAAAAUAAAUUCUAUUAAUCCUAAAACUAAUAUGUUAUUUCUAAAAUUGCUUCCUGAACAAGAAAAUCAAUGUUUUUGUUGAAAUCAAUCUGUUCUUUAUUUGUUAGGAUUUCCUAAAGAGUGUAUUUGCAAAAAUUAUCCUGAGUACAAUUCACCCCUCUUAAACUUAGACUCUCAUAAUCUCAACAAUAAGUAUUUACUAAAGAUGUAUACAUUACUUAAUUAAGUCAUUCUAGACUUUAGCUUCAACCUCAAAAUGUUUUGUUGAUUCAUUCCAUGCAAAUCCACUAAGUCCACUAAAUAAAUCUUGGACCUCGUGCCAUCUAUCUUUGAGGCUCUUCUGCCUAUUUCUUACAUUGUUUUUUGUUAUCACCACUAAACUAGAGUGACGAAGAGACUCAAUAAUGUCACUGUAGGCUUGAGUCAUUUAUCUUCUAUCGACCCUAUUUCACAAUUAUGUCUCAUUAACCAUUGUUGACAAAAGUCAUAAGUCCAUGCCGUCAGUCUAUUUUUGACUUCACAGUUACAUGCAAAUGACUCUAGUACAACAUUAUUUCCUUUAUUCAUGUUGUACCUAUAGCAAACAAAACUCAUCCAAUAAUGGUAACACAAGAGAUGUGAAGUCAUGGUUAAGAAACAAAUUACUUAUGAUAUCAAAAUAGAAGCAAAGAAAGUUCUUAUUCAAAAUACAACUUGUUACAUGAUUUUUAUUGUUUUCAUAAUCUCUCUAUAUUUAAUUAAUUAUAUUAUCUCUAAUGUUUGACCUUUACCUAUAAUCAUUCUCAAGAACUUAAGAGAGGGAAAUAUCUACAUCUUGUUCCAUCAACUCUCAAUCUACUUCAUCUACUAAUGACUUAUCAAUAUCCACCAUGCGAACAAAGUUGUAAAUAAUGCAACAUGCUGAAACUAUAUUUGUCAUUGUCUCAAAGGAGUAAUAGGGUUUUGUUCCACUACCUAUUAUUGGAAAUCAUUUUUUCACACUAAACAUCCUUUCAACUAUAUUUCAAAGUGACAAAUGACGUUGAUUAAACAACCCUCGUGGAUUUUGUGAACCUAUUCGAAAAUACUCUUUUAGGUGGUAUCUAAUGGUGAAAUAUGGUGUUAUUAUUUAUGAUUUUAACAUAAAGUUGAUAUCCCCAAGAUAAUGUUUUCCUAUAAUCAUUGCAUUUAUAGUAAUUAGCACUAAGUACUAAGUUACCACACAUGAAGUACACCAAAUCAAAUUGAACUAGGCUUCAUGUAUUACUAGCAGAUCCUCUUGAAUAAGGACAUCCUUUAAUAUUCUUGAAUAAGAUAUUAUUUCUUACCACCCAGCUAGAACAUAUGUGAACAAAAUCAUAAACUGCAAAUACAUUUUUGAGUUGACAGAUCUUUUCUUCCAUAAAAGCGAGGGACAUCCAAUUGUUAGACCUUUACACGUACAUGAGGGUCAUCUAUGAACCCCAAACAAUUCUAAAGGUAACAAAAAAUCAUAGUGUAAUUAACAAUCAUGUCAUACAUCAUGUAUCUGAAGUUACACUUUAGUUUGUCUUACUGUUCCUCAAAGUAUGGAUAAAAUUGGUUGUUGUUUAGGAUAUGAGGUUGCACCUUGCUCCUAGAUGGUUGAAUUGAAAAUUCCAACAUCAAAAUUGAAUUCAACACAUUAUGAAAGUGAUAGGAUUCUAUUUCCCAGGAUCAAUGAAAAAAAGAAUGAAACAUUUCGAUUCUCUAUGUUAUGUCUACUGAUGUGUUGAAAUUAAUGACUUGUUCCUUAAUUAUUGACCAAAAUGUAUCCUUUACUAACUAGUUUCCCUUAAUCGCUAACAUAAGUUAAUAAAUGUUUUAGUCUCAUUCAAAUAAUAUCACAACAUUGUUUAGUGUGCACCAAGUAUGAUAUCAAUUCAUGUUCAAGACGCUAUUUUUCUAGUACGAACUUCCUAAUACUGUUUGUCAUACUACUUGACAGUUGCAACAUACUUAAUCCACAAGCAACGAUGCAAAUGAUCAUCACUACUAUUCGUACACAACAAUAAUUGUUGUUGCAAGUGUGAAAUUAAAUUAAAGUCUACAUUGACAACAUUGUCACCCAUGUCUCUGUCGUUAAAAUACAAAGACCAAGCUCUUUCAUGUGCCAUGUCAAAAUGUCUUUCACAAAUACAAUUAUAACAUUUAAUAUUUUGAUCAAUUAAAUUUUAUAAAAAGUAUAAAUUAAUUUAAAUGCAAAUAUGUAAUUUACAAAUUUCAUCUUUCAUAUUUUAUAAUUAAAUAAAUUAUAUCCAAAUUAUUUGACUUCAAAUAUGCCAUUACAAUCAAAAUUAAUAUUUUUAGGUUCAUCAACAUUGUCUAUUCUAAAUUUCAAUAUCAACAUUAAUUAUUUUCUAAGUUAAAGUAUAUGAUCAUUGCCGACAUUUCGAAACUACAAACAGGCAUAAUAAUAACUUCAAAAUAUAUUACUAUACAAUAAUAAUUUUUAAAUAUUCAUAUAAACAUAAUGACUCAUUCAAAUCAAUCUCACUCCCAGCAUCAAUAAUCUCCACCCCCUGUUCUCAGAUCACCGACACUCAACCUACCUUUCUUUGAUGACAACAACUCAUUGGAUUGACUCUUUCAAGCAGACCAAUAUUUCUCCUUCUAGCAGAUAUCGCCAAACCAAUGUGUACCCAUGUUGCAUUUCAUAUGUAGGGAUGGACUUUUUCUUGGUUCAAAUGGUUGCACAAUAACAAUUUGUUAACAAAUUGACUAUCAUUCACACAGGCCUUGGAGCUCUAUUUUGACCCAUCAAUAUAUACAAAUCACCAGGUAGGGUUGUUCAAACUCCAACAAACAACCUCAGUUACUGAAUAUCAAUGUUGUUUUGAACGACUAUGCAAUUGUAUUGUGGGUCUCACUCCAAAGACUAUACUUAACUGCUUCAUUUAUGGUUUGUAUAUUGAGAUACACAUAGAGCUAGCCAUCUUGAACCCAUAUUCUAUAUCCCAUGCCAUUGAUUUAGCAAAGCUAAUUGAAGACAAUCAAAACCUAAACAAAAUCGUUUUCCCUUACCUUACCACACCCAUCCUUCCAGUAGCUCAUCAACAACAAACACGCCUAAAUCCAAUAUCGUCCCUCAACAACACUACUAUACCAUUGAAUGCACCACAUGAAGGAGCCAAUACCAACACGCCACGUAAUCCACGCUCAAAAAUGUGUCAACUCCUAAGACCUCGAGUUCAGCGAAGCUGCGUGUCAGAACACUCCACUCACACCUUACCCUAAAUCCCAGACGAUGUCUCCCCCACCUAAACCCAACUCUCAAACGACAUCUCUUCCACUUAACCUUAAUACUCCAUUGGCCCCUCCCAUACUUAAACCUAAUAACCAACCCAAUAUCAUCACGACCGACGUAAACAACAUACAUCCAUUUUCCCAAUGUCACCCAACCAUCUAAACCUAAUACUCCAACGACCCCUCCUACACUUAAACUUAAUAAUUAGCCCAUGUAAACAAUACACCCCUUUUUCCUCCAACGUCACCCCCACCAACUAAACCUAGUACUCAAAUCGCCCAACUCACACUCACACAUGCGACCCAAUUACCCAAUAUAACCCCUUUCCCCACCAAUUAAACCACGCUAAACAAAUCCACGACCCAACAAGUCUAGAGAUCCAAUUAACUCUAAGACUCCACUUUGAAGACAAAGUGUCUUUCGAGACGGAUAGUAUUGUUACACCGUAAUCCAACAUAAGACCCAAAACACAACCUAACUAGAUGAAAAACCUUGUAGUGGGAUAGACUCAAAGACAUUUUAGUGUUUUGUCAUGUUUUAUUUUCCUUUUAUUAAUGUUUACUGUUAUGUGAUGAUUUUGUCUUUUAAGUUUAUAAGGCCCAACGACCUACUUAUACCUUUUAAAGGAAACUAUCAGUUAUGAGAAAAACAAAGAAGAAUUUAGUAAUAAUAGUCUUAGUAUUAAUUGUAGCAAAAGCCUAACAUGCAACAAAGUCAACAACAAAACAACGAGAUCACCUUUCACCAAGUGAGUACCUACAAUACAUCACUCAAGUAUGGUACAAAGUCUAUAAUGAAGUUAACUCCAAGCCAAUCAAACAAAUGGAAAAACAACUGCAUAAUACCCUCACAUAUCACGUGAUCCAACGCCACAGCCACCCUCAAAUUUGUCUUCACCAACAAAACUCACCCCUGAAACAAACACGGCAUAAAUAAUUACUUGUCAAAAUAAUUUUUAUGAGGUCAUGGAAGCUAUUAUUUUAUGUAAUAAAAUAUUUAUUCUAAACUAGGGAAAAUACAUACACUUCCAUGCGUGUAUAUUCACAUUUUUAUUUCAUUAAAAGAUAUAUAUAUAUAUAUAUAUAUAAUUUUAUUAUUUUUGAGUAAUUAAUUAAAAAUAUAGAAAAACAAUACAAUUUAAUAUCUAUGUGUAUAUAUACACACACAUAAUUUUAUAAAAACAAUUUUAUAAAAGUUAUGUGCUGUUAUUUGUAAAAAAAAUAGAAAUUAUAAUUAUUUUGAAACAAAGAGAAGUUAUUCAAUUAUUUAUUUUAUUAAAUAAAUAACUAAAUUAUUUUUUAUUUGUUAAAGAAUAAAAUUGUUCAAUUAAAAAUGACACCAAAAGAAGUUAAUGAUGACUCUUUAUAUAAUGAUAUAGAUGACAAGUAAUUACGUUGAGGAGUUUUCUUACAGUAUGUUCAGUAUAAAAAUACCACUUUUCAGUAAACAUGUAACUAUAAAGUUGUUAUUGAAUUAAUUCACUUAUUAUUUUAGAUGAAUAAGAUAGACUUCAAUACUUUUUUCUCAGAAAAAUAACAUUUUGAUCAAGCAAUAAAUUUUCAUUAAUUUUUGAGAGUUUAUUAUAGUGACAAAAGUUAAUGUAAUGACUACAUAAUUGUAAGUAAUUCAGUAAAUGGUUCUGACUAAAUAAACUCUAUCACAAGGAAACAAAAAGCUAACUGUAGAAAACUGAAACAGAUAUGCCUUUCAUGAGAAAAAUAAAGAAUGCCACCCACCACCAGAAUGCCAUCCACCACUUUCUCCCCAACCAACUCCUUUGUUAGAGCCAUUUCCAUCCCGUCCACCACCUCUAGUGCCAUCUACACUCUGGUUAUCACGUCGAGCUCUUGCUUUUUCAACUAACAAGGUAUAACCUCCAAUCUCAGUUUGAUCCAGUUCUAGAGCUCUCUUCACACUGUCAAGAUCCUUGAAAUCUAGGACAGCAAACCUGCAAAUUUUGAUAUUUGACUUGAGACUAGAACGCUAUACACACUAAUUCUUGCACUAAUUAUGUUUAAGAGAUUUCAUGAGUUCUACUCAAGGUUUAUACAAGGGGAUAACAGGAGAAAUUUAAAAAAAGAGGUCAUAACUCUUAAAAUCCCACAUCCAUUAGAAAUAUGAUUAAAAUUAUAAUAAUAAGUGUAAACUUCUCUUUACUGAAGAUUGAAUUAGGUUUAAAGUUUCCUUUCUAAGAUGGUACCAGAGUAUACCAGAGUCUAUCCUAACAAGGUUUGUUGAGUCUAUCCUAACAAGACUUGUUGAGUCUAUCAAAUCCUCUUUCUUUUCCCACACUCGAUGAUAAGACCAAAAUUAUAAUAUAUAAGUGAAUACAAACCUCUCCUUAUUAGUUCAGAUUUACAAGAUUGAAUUAGACUUAAAGUCUACUUUCUAAUAAUUCCUAAAGGAAAUUUUUUGAUACCAUUGCCUUCUGUCUCUAUGACCUGGCCUUCUACUCAGUGGGAAGUUUUAUGCUCUAGGUGCCAAAUGAGAGGGAGAGAGAGAAAAAAGUAUUCAACAAAGAGCUAAUUCUAUUUGUGUAAAUAAGAUAGUUAAAAAAGUAAAGUAACAAAUAAAAAUAAAAUAAGUAUCACACUCUAUGUGUGGAGAUUACUGUAUAAUCUCUAGAUAACUUCCAACAGUUGUGUAAACAAAGUGAUUUUUAUCCAGUUGAUGAAUGAUGUUGAGAUAAAAAUUAUUUCCAGCAAGCAGCAUCCUAAACAAACAAGCAAAUGAACCUUUUCCUAUUCUAUUUGUCUAAAUUCAUUGAUUUCACUCUAGAGGUUGUGCUUAAUUGUUGUGCGUAUAAGCUGUUUAUGAGCCAGAGUCUCAAUCUUAAUAAAAAUGUUGCUCAAAUAACUACUGCAUUGAAUAUAACCAUAGGGAAGUCUUGGUAUAUGCAAAAGCAGAAAAAAUUAAUGAUAAGAAACGGACAUAAAUAAAAAAACAUUAAAAGGAAGAAAAAUAAGGAUUAUUCCUUAAGUGGUGAUUGGUAAAAGCAGAAAUGGCAUUUGGAAUAAAUCAAAAAAAUCAUUUUGCUUUUGCAAGCUCGCAAUAAAGUCUAGUAUCUUUCAUAUUUUCACUAAACCACCAUAGAUUCUCUACUUAUUUCAUUAAGCAACAUAUGGACUGCUGAAAGAUUUAUGUGAAUAAACGGAGAAUUAAUCUUUACAAAUUAACAAAAUCAAAUUGCAUACUACUGAUAUAGAUACGAAAAGGCUCAUAGGUAAAUGCAGUGGCAUGUCAAAACAUUUAACAGUAUAUUAUAACCUAACUUGCAUCAGAACAAGAACACAUACCCCUUAAAUGCACCAGAAUCAUAAAAUUUUGGAAUUGAUAUCCUCGUAAUCUCUCCACAAGAACCAAAAUGCUCUUCCAGGUUAGCUUUUAUCUGAAAGAAAAAAGUAGGCAUUAAAUACAGCUAAAUACUCGUGUUAAACCAAGCAAAGAGUCAAUAGAAAGAGAUUCAUACAAUGAGUGCAGGAAGUGGUGUAAACAAUAAAAAAUGAUAAGAGAAAAAAAGCUACCUCUUCUUCCAUGAGGGAACAAUCAAAACCCUUGACAUAUACUGCUAGAGAUUGGAAUGAGUUGCUCCAGUGGCUAAAAUUAUUAACAUGGAAACAUCAAAGGGAGAUAAUACAAGAUAAAAGAAAUCUAAAAAUACAAGAGAUUAAAGACUCAUCUCUAUUUGUUUUAAAAAUACAUUUUUAAUUAAUUUUUUUAAGAUAGAACAUAACUCAUGAAAAAAAGAUGAGUAAAAAACUAUAAUAUGAAAGUGCUUUUUUUCCAAAGCUUAUCCAAACACCCUGGACAAACGAGUAUAUAAAUACAUUACAAGGGACAGUAAACCAUGCAAAUGCACAGUGAAAAAAUGUAAAAUGUUCUCCAGUUCAAAAUGGCCAUGUUGAAAUACACAUUAGAACAAUUAGGCAGGAAUUUGUCCAAACACUAACUAAUUUACUCAAGAGUCAUGCACUUGCAUGAUUUUAUUAUGCAUGUGUAGAUAUGUAGAUUACCUUUUACUGUAGCUAUAACUUUUUUCUCGAGCUAAUUCAACUCUGAUGGGACGUCCAAACAAUUCUGUAUGAUCCAACACAAGAGCCUGUGAUAUAAAAGUAAAUUGAUUGUCAGCUCAAUGUCUUCGAUAAACAUAAACAAACAGAUGAUGAUGAGGCACAGCCAAACAGGCAUAAGAAAGCCUAGAAAUAUAAAUUCAAAACUAAUUGGUAUGCAAAGACAAAGGUUCAAACAAUGAAUGUAGCCAACAGCACCUAGUUAGUUGAGACUUGGUGGUUCUCGUUUCAGGAAUGAUAAAGGGGAUGGCUUUAUAGUAAAUGACCAUUGACCAUGUUAAGAAGCAGUAUAGAAGUUGCACCCUAUGAGCUGGCUAGAACAAUCUACAAUGCAUGAGUUAAAAAUGUUUGGAUGAGAUUGUUAGAAAAACUGCUUAUUUCCUAUUGUAAAACCAUCUUUGGUUGCAUACCGAUUAUAACCAUUCUGUUCAAAGUAAUCAGUAGGUGUCCUAAUCCUAGCUGAGAGAUAUAGUGUACUUUGUGUACUUUAUUUCUCUACUUGAUCUAAUCCUCUCUUACCUUCAUAUAUAAAGUACGUAAGUAAAAAACUAUAGCCCUGUCAAAUUUUCCCACCCGAAUUAUUGUGAACAUACAUGACUUGUUGUUAUAAAAUAAAAUUCUUUUCACAUGACUUUUAAAACAUGGACAUUGAAAUCGCAGGUCUGCAGUUUUGGAAUGCUUUGUUUGUUGUUACUGUAGAAGCAUGAAAUGGUUUAGAUGGAAUACUAAUGCUAUGGCCAUUUUAAUUAAAGAAGAUAAUAAAUUCUCAAUCUGUUCUACUUAUUUAAUUAUUGAUAUAACUUUAACUCAUAAACAUCUCCAAAUUUACUUCCAUGAAUUCAAACUCUCAUUUAGAAGUGUUCUCUAAACUCACAAUUUAGAAGAUUUUUUUUCAAAUUAAAAGAAAUGAAUGUGAAAAAAAAAUAUGUUUUUAAUAUUUAAAGAUAUGUCUUUAGAAUUAAUUCAUUUUAAAUUUUCUUCAAUAUUAGUUGUUAACAAAUAUAAAAUUAUGCACUUUCAUGGCUAUGAACAUUAAUCAGGAGGUAAAAGUAUACUAUUUUAUGUUAAAUGCAAACAAUAAAAACCUCAUGAGUUGACAUAGUAGUUUGACAUCACAGGUUCACACGAUGUAAGGAUGAUCCAUGUCGCAGGAAUCGUAUGAUUGAUCCGCUCCAUGCACAAAAACUCGACGGACCAGCAACAAUCCCACCACCCUAAGUGGGAUUUGUAUAUGGCCUAGUGAGCUAAAAGAAUGUAUUAAAAUUAUAAAAUAAUAAUAUUAUAUUUUUAAUAAUGAUAUACAUAUAUUAAAUGAUAAAUUAUGAUAAAAAUUUAUACUAAAGUGAAACAAAAUAAUUAAAUGAUUGAAUUUUUAAGACUAUGACCAAGUACAGCACAAUAGUAAUGUUAGUAAAUAACAAAAGUAAUAGUUUAGUUGUAUGUUACUCUUGUAUGUAUACAAUUUAUUAGCAAGUUAACACAAAUAAAAAAAUGUAUGGUCGAAACUUAUUUCUUGUAGGUGUUUACUUGCCAAGAUAAGUUUUUACAUAUGAAUAACUGUCUAUCAUAAUUUCAAGAGUCAAAUUUCAAUACGGUUAAAAAUUUUAUAUGUGUGUUGAUGAUAUAAUUAACCAAAAACUAAUGAUGGAUAUUAGGAAGUGAGUUUAAGUCUAACUCAUUCUUACAAAACCGGCUUAUAAGAUGAGGAUAGCCUCACUUAUAUAGUGUAGAUUGACUUUAUCUUUAGGCGACAUGGGAUCUUCAACAUACACCUCUCACGUCAAGGCAUGAACAUCUUGUGCGUGAGACUAAAUAUUUGUGAGUGGUCCAAUAGUGACCUGAUAACGGGUGGCACAAGAGGCUCAUCAAACCUUGCUAGGAUAGUCUCUGAAACCAUAUUGAGAAGUGAGUUUAAGCCUAACUCAUGCUCACAAAACCGACUUGUAAGAUGAGGAUUGCCCCUACUUAUAUAUUGUAAAUUAGCCUUAUCUUUAGACAGUGUGAGAUCUCCAACAACGGAAGAUUCAAGCCAUGCAGGCCAGUUCUAAGAUUCUCUUGUUUUUUCCAAGUGUUUAUUGGGAUAAAGGUGGCAAGAGAUAAAAAUUAAUUCAAAUCAUGCAAUGCAACAUAACACGCCCAAGGUAACCAAGCAUAGGACAAUGAGGCAGAGGAGUAACAGGAAAAAUCAAGUCAUAGAAAACAUAAUACAAGCAUUGAGUGCUAUUAAAAAUCCCGCAUCGACUAGAGAUAAGGACAUUUCAUAGUAUUAUAAGUACGUGCAAACCUCACCUUAGAAGCUAGUUUUAAAAGGUUGAGUUACGCUUAAAGUCCACUUUUUAAUAAGUGUCAUAAAUAUAAAGGGCGCACACCUUAAUCCAAAUUGAUUUGGUAGAGGGGUGGAGGGUAGACUUGAUUACAUUGCAUAGUUAAGUGCCAAUAUUUUCCCAUUUGGCACAAACAACCACUUAUGUAGAAGUUGAGGAAGAAGUGAGAUAAUCUUGAUAUCUAAAGCUUGAGUGGGAUAGUUGGAACCAUUUAAUUUCUCAGAAGCAAGUGUGAAAUUUGAAAAAUAGUUGUUGGGUCAAAAGAACCAUUGAAAGACAGUUAGCCCAAGAAAAGACCAAACAGAAAAUAAGGUAUUGGAAAUAUCACUCAGAGAAUGGGGUUGGGAUUGCCUGAGUGUGCGAAGUUGACAUCCAAAGGAUGAAUGGAACAAUCCAAUAACACAACACCAUGUGGUAUUGUUUGUAUGUUAUAAAAAUUGUUCGUGAGAAAGUAUUUGGACAUGUUGAGUGGCAAAAAAAUGUCACCAAAAAGAAAGGGUGACAACCAAAGAUUGGAGCAAAAAACUAGAUAUGUACUAAGUUGAAAAAAUUGUGGUUGUUGACAACAGGUCCUCAAGGUAGAUCACGAUUUUCAAGAGGUCACAUUCAGGCACUAGAUACCAUGUUUAGAAAGAGAAAACAAAAAUAUUGGACACAAGUUUAUAUUGGUUACGUACUUAAUUAUACAUAUAUAAAAAAAUAUUAUGCUUCCUCAAAUCAUAUAUUAUAAGCUUAUAAACUAGCAUUUUGAUUAUUAAAAUACAUUAUAUAACAAAAAUGUAGCAAGUUGUGUCCUAAAGAGAUUUUGAAAAAGAUAAUGGCAAUAAAACAACAUGAAUCUUAAUACAUGUUUACAAAACUGAUUUAAGAGGAACUUCUUUUCCAUAGUAUUCUCUUGCACCUCCCAUCUAUUAUAUCAUGAUAUUCACACAUUAAACUAUAUAUGUGUGUGUGUGAGUUUGUAUGAGUGGGUGUGAGUGCAUAGAUUUAUGAUGUCAAUCCAUCAUUGUAUUCCAAAGAUAAGGUUAUACACUUCAUGAAGCAAUCGUGAACUGAUACCAUGACCAUCAUCAAAAUUGCACAAUUUAACAAAACCAACAACAAUCAAGACUGGAACACAACUAAGUACAAGGUAUCAAUUUACUUUAGCAAUCAAAUACAAUAAAUUUCAUUGAAAAUACUAUAUUGAUAAACAAUAUUCAAUAAAUCAAAUCGCAAAGAAAGUAUAUGGCUUUGUUGCUUCCAGAAGUACAACUAUCAUUCAAUUACCUUUAGCAGUUCUAAAUGAUUUGCAACACAAGGUCUUAAAGCUUACCUUUUGUGCUGCUUCAGCCGUUGAAAACUCAACAUGUAAAAAGCCUUUAGGCCUCCCUUCAUGAUCUGUAUGUGGAUGAACAUAAACAAUACCUCCACAUUCUUUGAAAAGAUUUUCCCUGAACAAUCUUGAAAUUAGAAAAAAUGUACAGAACAUAAUUGAUGAGCACCUUUAUUAAAAAUAUACAUACACAUCAGCCUGUUCCACUCCACAUGACAAGUUUCCAACAUAUAUCGUAUUUGAUGAAGCAUUUUGUUCUUUCAAAGUAGGUAGCAUUUUAGGCUGCAAAAUUCCAGGAAAUAACACGUAUAUAAAUGAUUCAAAAAUUUACAUUACAUUGGAAAUUAUGGUGCAUACAACUGUAUUGCCAUUAUCUAAUGUAUAUUAGGUAAAACAGUGAGUUGUAUACAAUGUAUUUUCUCCAUCUCAUUUAUUCAAGUGGGACAAAGUGUAUUCGAAGAUUAGAGAGUAAACCAAAAACUAAGUACAAGGUUCUAUGGGCCCUAUGAGAUCACAGAGAAGCUCAAAGACAUACUUAUAGCCUGUGAUUACCAGAAGGAAGCCA
rnacentral:lncRNA from 1 species